rnacentral:lncRNA from 1 species
AAAAUAUCAACUCUGGGGCGAAGUUUUGGCAGCGGUUGUUUGGGGAGGUUGAGUAUUCCCACUGGCAUUACCAUCGGCAGUAUAUGCUGGAGCCUGAGUAUAACCAGCACCAUAAGAACUGUUGCUGUAUGGAGGUGGUGCCUGACCAUAUGCAGGCUGACCACCCUGAGGUGCACCAUAUGUUUGAGAACCAUACCCUGGUUGCCCUGCACCAUAUCCCGAAGGUGGUGCUCUCUGAGCACCAGAUUCUGGUUGGGGUUGAGAAUAACCGGAAGGUGGAGGCUGCGCAGGAUAUGCUGACUGACCAUAGCCUCCUACCGCACUAGGUGACUGCGACUGUCCAUAAACAGGAGGAUUACCACUUGGCUUUUGAGAUUGUGGGGCUCCAUAACCAGGUCCGUAACCUGGCUGUGGUUGACUUCCAUAAGCAGCUUGGGAUGUAGGUGGAACCCCAUAACCUGACUGAGGAGUUCCCUGAGGUGGGUAGCUAGCAGUGUUUGAGCUGGGCUGUUGGCUGGUAGGAUAACCUUGCUGUGGCUGUUGGGUAGAUGGAGCUUGGGCUGAAUCUCCCUGUGAAGCAUAGCUCGCAGUGUGGCCCUCUUGUGCUGGGUUACUGCCACUACCAUAGCCAGUAACGGAGCCAUAGCCUUGCUGCUGAUCAUAUGUUGGUGGUUGUCCAUACCCUGAUUGAGAUUGUGCAUUAUAUGCAUUAUAGCUGUCCUGAGCAUAACCCUGUCCGGGUUGGCUAUAACCAGAAGAAGGUGGUUGACUAUAAUUGUAUGCAGAGCCAUCAGCUGGAGGUGCAGGACCUCCAGGAUUUUGUGGUUGCUGUGGCUGUUGACUAUAGUAAUCAUAGCCACCAGCAUGAGUUGACUGUUGGUGAGAUGGUGCAGAAGACUGGUCCCAAUUGGUGGAAUAUCCACCUGGUUGUUGGGGAGGAUAGCCCGAAUAUUGUUGCUGAGGCAUGUUAUACUGAGGUGAUGGACCAGAAUAUGCUCCAGGUUGCACAUAUCCAUAACCAGGUUGCUGCAUUGGUGCAGGGGGGGCCCAGUUAGAGGGUGGUCGAGAUUGGUAACCUUGCUGAGGAUACCCACCAGACAUUGAAGGAUUUCUAAGACGAUUCUGUGGAUUCAAAUUGAAAACCAAAAUAAAGGGAGUGAGUUCACCCAAAUUUCCACACAAGACAAGUAUAGGAAGCAACAUAUGCACACAUACACAGGUUAAACUUACAAAUGCAAAAAUCAACAUGUAAUGAACACGAGAUAAAGGGUAUAUAUAUUAUCUUGCAUUAACGGGUUGCAUACAUGAUCAGAAAGGGAUACGAAUACCUACAUACCGUACUGGUUCGUGAUAAAACUGAGUUACUCCAGCAGAAGCACACCCUUUCCCUAUUCGAAUUGAAUGGGUACAAAAGAAAGCACAGACCAUAGAAGCAAACAAUCAUUCAAUAUUUAUUGCCUUGAAAAGGCAAUCCAUCAUAUAGUAUAUCAAUAUGCAAUAUCUUACUCCAAUUGUUACACUAUACAAUAUAUCAUUCAUAUUCAUAUUAAUUCAACAAGAGUGACUGGACUACAGAUAUUUCACACCCUAUUAAGAUGAAUGCGCAACUCCAAAUUCAAAUAUACAGACUGUUGAAACAACUUUUCUGUGCUCCCAUGUACAUUCUCUCAUCCUUUGUACAACCCAUUCUAAUAGUCCAACCUCGGGAUCAUCAGUUAAAAACAAUAAAAUUAAAUAUUAUUUUAAUGGAACAUGAAUUAGAAAGAAAAGAAAAAUAAUUGAAUGAGGCAGAACAGAAGUGGCACAAAAUGUAUAACAGACAAAUCUUAAUAGAAAUCUUAAACAUAACUGGUUAGUUAAGAAAACUAUUUAACACUGGACAAGAAUAAUAAAACUGGACAAGAAUAAUAGUAUAGGGAAAAUAAUUAAAGUGCUGAACGACGGACAAAUUUCAGGUUACCUAUGCCAAAUGUAAGUCCAGUAUAAGAUACGAGGAUAAAAUACUACUCCAAGUACACUAAGGUUCUUUUUAGAAAUAAACUGAAAAGCACAAGAGACCUAGUUGAAAACUAUUUCAACAUAAUUCAACAUUGAGUCUAAUAAUGACACUAUAGUCAAAAAGUAUUAGUAGGAGACUUACUGCCCUUGAUAAUAAAUAUCAAAACUGAGAUUUAGAACCAUACCAGGGCAUGCUGAGGGAACACCAACAAAAGGAUUCAUGUUGGUGUCACCAAUGGUCCAAUAGACACUAACCCUACAACAGUCCCAAUAACAAUAUCAGUCAUAGGAUACACAAUUAAUAAGCAUAUUCCACUGUCGAAAGGUUAUAAUCUCAAUGAGUAUCCAUCUGGCCCAAAAAUAUUUCAUAAUAACAGUAGCCUUCAGAGCACCAGGAAUCUAAACCAACAAAAACAAUGAAAGACGCACCUCACCAAAGCACUGGGCUAAGUGAAAAACACAAUUAAAAUACGGUCUUUGUAAAUAUAUGGUAUCUUGGUCAAGAAAACUGACAGGCCAAUUCUAAAAUAUUGCUACCAACGUCCUUGAUUCGUGGAUGUAUAAAAGAGAUAAUGGCUAAGACGUAUUAGCUAAUUAUAUAGAGCAGACUACACAUACACAAACAUAAAGACACAGUUGACAAGUCAGACCCUGAAAGUUCAUCAUGACCAUCACCUAAUCCUAGACUAAACAUAAAGGAAGAUGCGUAUUGCUAAUAUAUCAAGACUGUUAAUCGAACAAGAUACCAUACAAUUGUUAACAACAUUAUACAGCUAAUAAUUGAUGGCUAUAGCAGUGAACGGUCUCACUAAUCAUGUUUCCACUUGGCCAGCUGACGCAACAACACUGAGGAGUUGGAGAUUACAAGCAAGAACAUCGUAACAGCCAUUAGUCUUCUACCUUUGUGCAUUAUUUUGCAUAAGUCUUGAAACACUUGCACAAUAUGAAAAUAUGUACUAAUUUUCUUUUGAGAACAAUACAGUAGGUAACAGAGAUCCGAAUAAUAUUAAUGUAUCAUAUAAUAAAGACCACUUGUUAAAGGCACAUUAGGCUCUGAAAAAAUUUCUACUUCCUUAAACAUACUCUAUCAUCUAAGCUGCUUUGGAAGAGAGAUCAAUGCAUCCCGAAUAUGCAUCAAGUUACUAAUAAUUGUCAUACAGCUAAGCUGCUUCGGUCCAGAUCAAAACAUCAAUAAUAUACAAUGUAUAAUAAUGGUCACAGUGUUAUGCUGUAUCAAUAAUAAGAUCAAGGAAUUAAUUAAUAUGAACAGAAUAAAUGUCAUUUAUGCAAAACUAAAGUGAAAACCAUCACAUGAUUUACCAAAACUAUUUUUUCCCUGCAAAGGAACAAAUCGGAGAGUACAAAAAUCAUGUAUCAUGUUACAGGAAUCAAUCAGAUCUAACUUUAUAUUUUAAUAUCAUAAAAAAUAAAAAGACCCAACAGGCAAUGACAAGCACACCGUAUUCAUCUCACAAUAACAUAAAGCUUGCACGUAAAUCAACCUAGUUUGAUCAAACAGUCUAGAUGAUAAAUAGAUUGUGCAACAUACAGAGUACAAAACCCAGUAGAAAAACAGCAAUUUUAAACACUAGACUAGACUUGGCCUUACCAGGCAGAUAUGCCUAAGCCAAAUCUGGCAAAAAGAAGCACCAUUAACAUACCUCGCCACUGAUGAUUUGAUUAACCAACUCCUUUGCAGACUCAAUUUGCUCAGGUGUCCCAUCAACUUUUAAUGUUCUUUCAGUUGAUGUGUCACCUGGAGGAAGAUGCAGAGGUAUCACCUGAAAAAACAUAUAAACAUUAGCCAAAAGUCAUAAAAGUUGGCCGUUAACACAAUCUCUUUUCAAAUUAGUUGCAAUCACAAAGCUACGGUAAAAAAAAACAUAACAACAAGGCUACACUAACUAUGAUUUAUCACCGAUAUCUAAUACACAAAUAAGAGAACAGCGUUCUAUAUAUCACUUAUAAGUACAAACCUGAAUCCGUGCUCCUGUAGAAGCUUGCAUAUUCUUUAUAGUUUCUCCUCCUUUGCCAAUUAUAAGGCCAACCUGAAGAUGCACACGAUAAACAUAUCAACCCAAAGAGAUAGAAAAAAACAGAUCUGAACACGGAAAUUACGCAUGACAUUGUACAAAGCAUACACUCAUAUCUCCCUUUCACACCUUAUUAUUUGGAAUUCUCAUGACAAAUUCAUCUGACCCAGCUUGUCCAGUCAGUCUUCGAGCAACAAUGCCAGAACCUCCAGAUUCAGCCUGGUACAACAACAGUUGUCAUCGUAUAUAUUGCAAUAAUUAAACAUGUGAGAAAUUUAUCAAGAAACAGACCUCCUUCGUAAGAUUAUCGUAACGUCAAAUCUAUGAUAAACGAAAUUUAAUACAUACAUGAUUCACAGAAAAAAAAAUAGUAUAAAAUGUGAUUAACCUCAGCAAGAACUUCAUUUAUGAGUUUCUCCGCAGAAGCAAUUGCCUCGGGAGUGCCCAUAAGCUCAACCGUUCUUGAAGUAGAAUUAGGGUCGGCGUCCAUAUCGCGAGUAACUUGAAUUUUAGCACCAGACUGCAACUGGAGAUACUUAAUAGUCUCUCCACCUUUGCCAAUAAUCACACCAACCCUGCCGUUAGGGAUAUCGAUCUUCUUGCUCGUUCCUUGGUGACUGUAGGAGACGGGAGGAACGGCUGAGUACUGAGGCUUCGCAUCUACGUUCACGGAAAACAGAGUUUAUAAAACCCUAACCUAAACGAGAAGAAUAGUGGAGCAGAGGGGAUAGCUAGUUACCGUAAGAAUCGAAGCCGGAGGUAGGAGCGCCGUUAUCGGGUUUGGCACGCUUGGCGUCGAGCGGGGGAGGAGGAGCAACGCUGAGGAGGCGAGUGGCGACUUCUUGAGCACGCUGCUUGGCAAGCUCGAUGCCGGUAGCGGGGCCGGCGGAGAAGCCGGUGGGUCUAUCGGAGGAUUGGUCUUCAUACUUGCGUUUGAGGGGCGUAGAGUCGUUGGGAGAUGAAUAGUGGGCUUCGUCCGCCAUUGGCACAAACCCUAAAGACGUUAGGUGUGUAAGAGAGGGUGGUGAUGUUAUUUAUAAUAUAUAGUGGUGGCUAGUGUGACCCCUACCAUGGGUGGGGCAGGGUAGAAAAAAAGGAGAUAUUUUGCAUCCCUUCGCUUGAGGCACCUUUACGUCAUUCAUACAAUUAUACAGAUAAAACUAUUUUUAUCUCUAUUUUUCUAUCUAUCAUCUUAUUAUUUUUAAUUUUUCUAUCUAUUUUUUAUUUUUAAGAUUUUAUAUUUAAGAUAAACAUUUUGAUAUUAUCGGUGUAUCUACUACUAAUUAAUAUUAAUUAACUUUUAAUUUUUUAUAAUUAUAUCUUGUGUUUUUAUUUAAAAUUAACAUGAUUACAUCAUCAAUAAUAAUAAAAAUAAAACUAAUUUAUGUUUAUAGAUUCAACUUUUAUGUUAUUGUAGGGUUUAAUUUUUUAUUUUCUUCAUUUUUAAAAAAUUAAACUAAACAUUUUUAAUUUACUACUUUUUUAUUUUUAUUUUGUAAAAAAUCAUUUUUUUAUUUAUUAAUUAUAUUUCUAACUAUUUAAAACAUUAAAUUAUUUUUUUAAUGCAUUCAAAAAUAAAAUUAUCAAAAAAAUUAAUUUAUUAAUUUUAAUUUUUUUACUUUUGAAAUGGUGUUAGAUAGGGAUAUAAAAAUAAAAGAGUGUUAGGUAAGAAAAUAAAGACAAGUGCGGGAAAAUAAAAAUGUAAAUAGUGUUGUUAUAUGAGGGAUUGAAUCUACAAUUCUCACUUCAUUUCAACUUUUUCGCUGUUUCUUUAAUCAAUAUUUUUUAAUAAUAUUCAUACAAAAAUAAAGGUAAUUUUUUAAUGAUAUGUUUUUUUAUUAACAAUGAUAUAUUUUAUUAAAUAAGAGUUUAUUUGCGAUAUUUUUUGUAAACUUUAUUCGGUUAAAUUGAAAAAAUUAGUAUUGAGUGACUUUUUAUGGAUUUUUAAAAUUAAAAAAAAAAAUAAAGAAGCCUAUAGGAUAAAAAUAAAUAUGUUGCUUAUGGAUUCAGUUGAAAUUAUCUUAAAGAGAAACUUUAUUUGAAUUAGUUAUAAUAAGUUUAUUUAAUUAAUGUAUUAGUAUAUUAACAAUUACCAUAUACAAUUUAGAUAUUGGCAUUCUCAUUAGUAUUUUUUUAAUAUUUUUUACCGUGAGAUCAUACAACUGAUGUAAUGGUCAAGGUUAACGGCCCCACGACCGAUAGUUCAAGUCCAGUUAUGCUCAAUCAAGGUCGACGAAGUUAAUUCGUGAUUAGGAGUCAAGUAAUGCAUCCCUAAGCAUGAUUCAGCCCCUUAACCCGACCCAAUAAAAAAAGUCAAUCAAAGAUAAUAUAAGAUUUGAUUCAAAUAUUAUAUGUGAAACUAAUAUAAGAUUUGAUUAAAAUAUUAUAUGUAAGACUAAUACAAGAUUUAUAAAUAAAAUUUAUGAACUCGACUUUAUAAAUAGAUUAAUUAUAUAUAUACUAAUAGAUGUGAACAUACAUAUUUAAAAUUAUAUAUGACUUUAACUAAAUAUUUAUUUAUUAAAAGUAUUUAUUAUUCUAGCUGAAUCCUGAUAUCGAACAACUUUUUACAAAUACUCCACACGUAUUUAGUACCAAGACUUCUUUGAUACUCUCUGUUUGAAUUGAGGUGGAAAUUUGUGAGGAAGGGAGAUAGUGAAUUGAAGAAGAUUAUGGGGAAUGUGUGAUGUUGUUUGGAUUGAGGGAUGAUAGAGUGGAUUUGUUAUGAUUGUUUAUUAAAAUUUGUAAGUGAUGAGAUAGUUAUGACAUAAUUUAGAAAUUAUUUUAAAGGUGUAAAAUGCAAAUUUACAAAUUUAUCUUUGUCAUUAAAAAAUAUUUUAAUAAUGAGUUAGGUUUUUUUUUUUUGUAAGUUUGAGUUAAUUUUUUUUCUAAUAUAUAAUAUUCAUAAUUACUCUUAUUUUGUAAUACAAAAUAAUUCCGUGUUAAAUUAAAAAAAUAUAUUAAAUAUAUUAAAAUUUAUGAAAAUAAUAUUUAUUAUUAUAUACAUUUGUUAUUUUAUAUAAUUAUAAAUGUUUUGUUGAUAUGUCAAAUAAUAUGAAUAAAUUUAGCAACUUGUUCUUCAACUAUUGAAGGAUAUGCAUCCUUAACAAGUUGCCCUAAUUCGUUUACAUAAUAUUGAAUGAAUGCUUAUGGUUACAUGCGAAUAAUGUCAUGAGAACAUCCCGUGUGCACCAAAUACUCCAUCAAUUAUUGUUUGCAAGUUGAGUAUAUAUUUUCAAUUGUUCUUAUAUUUUUUAAAUGAGAUUCAUGUUCACACGAGCAAUAUCAUUAUAAAUUGCAAUUGUAUCAUCAAAUUCUUCUUUGUCGUUUCAAAGUGGUUUCCAAUUGUUUUCGUUAUCCAUCUAAUAUUUACCUUAUCAUUGACAAUCAUAAAAUAGUUUAUCGAUACACAUCAAAUAAUUUAUGCUACGAAUAACUCUAACCACUUAAAGUUGGAGUUAGUGCAAUAGUACUAAGGUUAAUAUUAGAGUGAUGUGAAGAAUAAUGUUAAGAUUAAGACGCACUUUAAUAUUUAUAAUUAAAUCUAUAAAAAAAACACAUAAAAAUAAACAAAACAGUAAAAAUGUAAAAAAGCAAAUUUAAAUUUAAAUGAUUCACUAUAUCUUGUUAAUAAAAAAAUGUAACACUAAACACACAGUAAAAAAAAAAAAUAUAUAUAUAUAUAUAUUAAAAACAAUAAAGACAUUGAAUAAAAAAAACAGUGAACACAAAGUAAUAAGAAAAAUGUAAAUAAAUUUAUAAAAAUUAAAAAUAAUAGAUGUAAAUGCAUUUAUAAAAAACUAAAAAUAAUUACCACAUAAAAAAAAACACUAAACACCUAAAAAAAUUUAAACACAAUUAUUAAAAUUAAAAAUAGUAAACAAAUAAUAAAAAAAAUGUAAAAACAAAAACACAAAAAACACAUAAUAACAAAUAAAUAUACAAAUAUAUUUAUAAAAAAUAAAAACAGUAGUUACAUAAAUUAAAAAGACAUGAUAAUAAAAAAUAUAAAACAUUAAACAAAUAACAAAAAAAAUACAGAACAGUAAUCAAAUAAUAAAAAAUUAAACAGUAAACACAUAAUAUAAAAAAUAUAAAUACAUUUAUAAAAAUAAAAAAUUUAUAAACACAUAUAAAAACAAAAAAAAUUAAAUACAUUUAUAAAAAUUAAAAUCUGUAUGUAAACCCAUAAAAAAGCAAACAAGACAAAAAAAACCUAAGAAAAAAAUUUAAAUACAAUUAUUAAAAUAAAAAAACAAUAAACACAUAAAAAAACUAAACAGUUUCUUGUUAUUAAAAAAAAUUAAAAAACAUUAAACACAUAAUAUAUAUAUAUAUAUAUAUAAAUAUAAUUAAGAAAUAAGUAAAUACAAUAAAAUAAAAUAAAAAUAAAAAAACUAAACAAUAAACACAUAAUAAAUAAAAAAAUAGUAAAAAAACAAUAAAGACAUAAUAAUAAAAGAAAAUGUAAAUACAAUUUUAAAAAAUUAAAAAUAAUAAACUACUUUUUUUAUGAAAUACAUUUAUAAAAUUAAAAAAUAGUAAAUACAAAAAAAAAAGUGUAAAUCCAUUUAUAAAAAUUAAAUACAGUAAACACAUAAUAAAUAAAAAAGUCAAAUAUAUUUAUAAAAAUUAAAUACAAUAAAUACAUAAGAAAAACUAAACAAUAGUACAAAUGCAACAAAAAAAUGUAAAUACAAUUAUUAAGAUUAAAAACAGUAGACAUAUAAAAAAAAUAAACAGUAUCUUGUUAAUAAAAAAGAUAUAAAAACAAUAAAGACAUAAUAACAAAUAUAUAUAUAAAAAUUAAAAACAAUAAAACAUAGAAUAAAAAAAACAACAAACACAAAAUAAUAAAAAAUAUAAAAACAGUAAACAAAUAAUAAUAAAAAUAUAACUUUUUUAUAAAAAAUAAAAACAAUAAACACAUCAACAAAUGUAAAUGCAUUUAUAACAACUAAAAAUGGUAUUAUUAAAAUUAAAAAUAAUAAACACAUAAAAGUAAUAAUAAAAAUGUAAAACAUUAAACACAUAAUAAUAUAAAAAAACAUUAAAGUUAUAAAAUAAAAACUAAACCGUAAACAUAAUAAUAAAAAUAUUUAAUUACCUUAUUCGUCCCUAUAUUUGGGGUCAAUAUUCAAUUUGAUACCGUGGUUUUUAAAAAAAUCAAUUUGGUACCGUGAUUUAAAAAAUAAUCAAUUUGGUCCCUAUGUCUUUUAAAAUGUAUCCAAAUUGGUCUUUCCGUUAAAUCCCUCCUAACAGCUAACAGCGUAAGGUGUUGCUUAUGAUAAAGAGAAUGUCUAUAUGGGGAGAGAGAUGUGAGAUUAUUAUUAUUAUUAUAGUUAUUAUUAAUACUAUUAUUAUUAUUGUUAUUUUUAUUACUAUUAUUAUUAAUAUUAUUUUUCUUAAUAUUAUUACUAUUAUUGAUAUUUUUAUUACUAUUAUUACUAUUAAUAUUAUUUUUCUUAAUAUUAAUAUUAUUAUUAUUACUAAUAAAAAAUAAAAUAAAAAUAGUAAUAAUAAUAAUAUUAAGAAUAAUAAUAAGAAAAAUAAUAUUAAUAAUAAUAAUAAUAAUAGUAAUAAUAAUAUUUAUAUUAAGAAUAAUAAUAAUAAUAAUAAUAAUUCUCAAUCUCACCUCUCCCUCCACAUAAACACUCUAUCUCCCACAUAAACACUCUCUCUAACCCACAUUCUUUCUGUGUCACAUAAGCAACACCUACGCUGUUAGGUGGAACUUAACGGAAAUGACCAAUUUGGAUACAUUUUAAAAUAUAUAGGGACCAAAUUGAUUUUUUUAAAAACCACGGUACCAAAUUGAAUAUUGACCCCAAAUGUAUGGACGAAUAAGGUAAUUAAAUAUAAUAAAAACUGUAAAACCAAUAAACACAUAAUAAUAAAAAAGAAAAGUAAAUACAUUUAGAAAAAUAAAAAACUGUAAACACAAAAUAUAAACUAAACAAUAAAUACAUAUAAAAGAGUAUAAAUAUUGUACUGUUACAGUCUAUAGGACUGAUAGCACGUCUCGAACUUCGUCACUGGAUCGACCGAGUCCCUAUGGCCUGUAUCUAUAAGGGCAAUCGAAAUCAUGAUUCCAAUUACUCUCCAGCAAGAUCAGCAAGGCUAAUCCAUGAUUAGGAGCUAGGUAAUGCAACCCUAAUCACGGUCCAACUCCCUAAUCCAACCCAACAAGAGAAAACUCGUCAAAGGUAAUAUAAAUAACACAUAUUCUAAGGAUCAGGUACAUUAUCUACCGUGCUCUAGCUAUCGAGUGUCGAACCCUUUUGUUGACUUUAGCGUCAAAGUGUCUUCUGCAUGUACUCUCAUUCGGUACUCACGAGACGACCGAGAACCGAGGCUAGGAAGGAAAGGAGAGGAACGAGUAAGAAAGGAAGUUGAAGAGUAGCACAACCGACCCAUAAAAAAGAAGAAGACGAGUUCUCUCAAUAGUUUUUUAGGCCCCAUCCCCGAACGAAAAUAAAUACAUUUAUUAAAAAUAAAAACAGUAAACAUAAUAAAAAAAUAGUUACCACACUUAAUAGAAAAAAACUCUAUAUAAAAAAAAAUUAUUAAAAACUUACGUGAAGGUGAAGGCAGAGAAGAAACCGUGUGAUAAACAUAACCAACCAAAGAACCACUGCAAUCAGACACAAGAAGAUGAACCAAGAUCCAAUCUGAAAAAAAAAAAAAAAACAGAAUGAAUUCCAAUAUUUUUCUCAAAUAAUGACUGAUAAGAUUAAUAAAAAAACUCACACAAAAAUUAAAAUAAAAUGCAACAAUUGUUAUGAUUUAAAGAAGAGGACGGCAACGAAUUUUCGAAACUUUAGACGAGUAAAAAGAAACGAGAUAGGUGAAUUAUAUAGCAAAACCUUUUACUAUAAUAGUAAAACAAAAUUAAGAAAAAAUGUUUAAUUAUUUAUUUUUUAUAUUUUAUUAAAGAAGGAAAUAAAUGGUUAUGUAUGGAGAGGGAAAAGAAUGAAAUUUGGGGAGGAAGGAAUAUGAGAGAAGAAAAGGAAAAGGAUAAAGUGUUGGAAGUGAGGAUUAAUUAUUUCUUAAUUAGAUAUUUAUUUAAAAAUAAUAGAAAUUAAUUUAAAAAUUAAAAAAGAAAAAUUUAAAUAAUUUUUAAUUUAUUUAAUAUUGUAAUUAAUUAUUUUGGUAUUUAAAAGUUGUUUUUUAUUUGAUGAUUGUCUUGUAGUAAUAGAUGACAAACCAUUAUAAUAUUAUAAUAAUAUUUUAUUUUAAAAAUUAAAUUAAAUUAUUAAAAUAUUAAUUUAUUUGUUUGUGAAAUUAUACUGUAUAUAGUGUCCACAUAUCACCAAUCAUUUAAAAUUCUCUACAUCACAAUUUACUGUCUUUUUUGUUUAGUAUGUGAAUUUAUCAGCUUAUUGUGAUUUUAGUUUCUCAAUUUACCCACAUCCCAGGUUAAUAUCUUUUUAAUUCCUAAAAUUAGUUACACAAUGUCAAUUAAGAGAUUAAAGUAGAAAUAAAAUGCUAAAUUCAGAAACUAAAAUACUCAUAAAUAAUUAAAUUCGGAGCUAAAACGAUAAAAUACAGUAAAGUCUGGGAUAAAAAAUUAAUAAAUAAAUAAUGAUAAAGUUAUAGUUUUACCUUAAUUUUUGAAUUUUAGUACUUUCAAAAACUGUUCUUUACCUGUUUUGUGCGACCAACUUAGCACACUGUUGUGUUUCGCGGCUGGGCUGCUUCAUUUCUCUACCACCACCAACAACCAUCGUCUUGUCACCUCAGAGUCAUCUACAGUUGUUCUUGGGGAUUUUGUGUUUUCAUUCACAUUUCACACUUACAUUAAAGGUAAAAACGAUUUUGAAUAUAUAGAUUUUGUUUGCAUAUUGCACCCAUUUUCUUUGUAUUCUUGGCACUGGCUUUUACUUUUUGGAAAAAGGGUUUGUCUCUAACAACGUGAGAAACUGUUGGAAUACCUGUUGGGAGAGAUUAAGCAUAGUGUUUGAAGCAAAAUUGUAUCUUGGAAUGGGAAACAAAAAGUUUAGACAACAGGGUUAACAAAACAAUACUCAUAUCCAUUCUCUCUAUAUUGGUUGUCAUGUACCUGGGUCUGAACAGUUAUACUAUGUUGCAUCUCAGUUCAAAAUGGUCAAAUUUUUCAUUUUCAUCAAUGUCAUUUGUUAUCAAUGUCAUGAUAUUUAGUUUCUCCAUUUGUUGUGUUUAAUGUUUGCUUUAUGAAAACAAGAGAGAUUUAUUCAUUAAUGCUAAGUAGUUAACUCUCUAUGGACUGUAGUAAUCUAAACAGUUUAGCUUUUUCACUUUCCAUUAUCAGUCCUUCUACACCUCUUUCUUCCAAGUCUUGCUACCAUGAAAAGUAGACAUGUCUAUAAUUAUGUGGUUCUGCAUCUAAAUUAUAAUAUAACACUAUAUUAAUAAAUUAGUUUCCAAAAUUAUGGAUUCUAGUUAAUUAGUAUAUGAAAUUGUAAAAGUAUAAUUGGAGUCAUCAAAGUUGGAGGAGUCAUUAUAAUAUUUCAGUACAAGAAUUAAAUUGGCUAAUGAUCUAGAACUAAAUUAUUUGUCAUUUUUUUAAUAUCUAGAAUUCAUAUAACAUUUUAUAAAUUAAAAAAAAACCAUAUGUAUAAAUGAUUUUAUUCAACAAGAGAAUCAUUAAUAAUGUAUUCUUUGUUCACCUCUGGACUCUGUCACUCUAUGUGUGUAUGUGUGUAUACACAGUCAAUUUUAAAUUUUAAAUAUGGUUUUAAUUCUUGUAAUCUACUUUCUGAUAUGUUUCUGGUCACUCUACACAAACUCAGCUUAUCUCUCAAUCUUAAAUAAUUAUGAUUUAAUUUACUGUUUAAAGAAAAAAAUCAGUUAAGUUGUAAAAAAAAAUUGUAUUGUUUUUUUCAUUUUUUUUUUAAAUUUUUAGAAAAUUAAACCAAAUUUUCUUUAAUUAUUUACUUUUAUUUUUUCAUCUUUUGUCCUGAACUUUAAUUGUAGAAUGUCCUAAAAAAACUAAACUCUGGAGAGCAUUAUUAAAAAGAAAAAAGGGAGAGAAUUGGUUGCUUGCUCGCGAAGUAUGAGGGUCUAAACAAAGUUAUAAUACUAUAUUUCCCAUUAUGAAUCUUUUAAAGAAGCAUUUUGUUUCAGUUUAUCGUAUACUCUUGGUUGACAAGUUUGUGAAGGAAAGGCCCCGAACACACAUUCAGAGCUUUAUUCACCAUUACUUCAAGGUAAAAGUUCUGAAUCAAAACCUCAUAUAUCUUUCUUCUGUAUCAAGUACAUGUUCUGUAAAUUGUUUUCUAUGACUGACUUCACUUGUUUUGAAUUUGAACACAUUUUAGAAUCACUUGAAAGAAAAUGGCAGAACAAAAUAAGGAAUGGGCUGUGGGAAUUGACCUUGGCACAACAUACUCAUGUGUUGCUGUAUGGCUAGAGGAACACUGUCGAGUGGAGAUAAUUCACAAUGAUCAGGGCUGUAGAACAACGCCUUCAUCUGUGGCUUUCACAGAGAAUCAAAGAUUGAUCGGUGAUGCUGCUAAAAAUCAGGCUGCUAUUAACCCAACUAACACUGUCUUUGGUAAAUAAUUGCUUUUUAUUGCAUGUGAAUUCAUUUAAAUGUUUAAACUAGUUAUUUGUGUUGGCUUUUAGUUGCAAAUGAUACCUUAACAUUCAUCAUUUACUUUGUGCCAAAAAGUAUACUUUUUGUCCAGUACUCUAAUUUGUUCUAUAACUUUAAAUUAAUAAAUAUCAUUCCAUAAGACUAUUUUGAUUAGCAUCAUUGAGGAAUAGCCUUAAAUUCGUGCUCGAUUAAUGACUAAUUUUGCAGAUGUGAAAAGGUUAAUCGGCAGAAGAUACAGUGAUCCCAUUAUCCAGGACGAUCUAAAGUUGUGGUCAUUUAAGGUCAUUGCUGAUUCUGAUGACAAACCCAUGAUAGCUGUUUCAUACAAAGGUCAGGAGAAACACAUUUCAGCUGAAGAAAUCUCAUCUAUGAUCCUCACAAAGAUGCGGGAGACUGCAGAAGCGUACUUGGAAUCAGGGGUUAAGAAUGUUGUGGUUACUGUGCCUGCUUAUUUUAAUGACUCUCAGCGACAAGCAACCAAAGAUGCUGGUACCAUUGCUGGCCUCAAUGUCAUGCGGAUAAUCAAUGAACCCACAGCUGCAGCUCUGGCAUACGGCCUUGACAAGAGAGCAAAAUGUGUUGUUGGAGAGAGAAAUAUUUUCAUCUUUGAUCUUGGUGGUGGUACAUUUGACGUGUCUCUGCUCACAAUCAAGGGUGAUGUCUUCAAAGUCAAGGCCACUGCUGGUGACACGCACCUUGGAGGAGAGGACAUGGAUAACAGAAUGGUAAAGUACUUCGUUGAGGAGUUCAAGAGGAAGAACAAAGUUGACAUCAAUGGGAACCGGAGAGCCUUGAGGAGGUUGAGAACUGCUUGUGAGAGAGCAAAAAUAAUAAUAAUAAUUGAAUGCGGACUGACCCACAAACUCAUGGGCCAGCACUUAUGCAGAGCGAGACCGAAAAUCACUCGUGCAAGAUUUGAGGAGCUCAACUUGGACCUCUUUAAAAGGUGUAUGGAGACAGUAGAUAUGUGUCUUGUUGAUUCUAAGAUGGACAAGAGUGAUGUAGAUGAUGUUGUUCUCGUUGGUGGUUCUUCUAGGAUUCCCAAAGUGCAACAGCUAUUGCAAGACUACUUCAAGGGGAAGGAACUGUGCAUGAGCAUCAACCCUGACGAGGUUGUUGCUUAUGGAGCAGCAAUUCCCAACUUAGUGUUAUUAGAUGCUACACGGCUGUCACUUGGUAUAUCUUUAAAAGGAGAUCUCAUGAGUGUUGUGAUUCCUAGGAACACCACCAUUCCUGUUGAGAAGAAAAAAGUAUAUGUUAAGAUCAGAAGAUUUCCCAAUCUUAUGUCCAAAGUAAAGGUUUACGAGUGUGAAAGGACAAUAGCAAGUGAUAACAAUUUGCUUGAUUUUUUUAAUCUUUAUGGCAGUCCUUAUGCUCUUUGAGGCCAUCCUUUAACUGUAAGUUUCAGUAUAGAUGUUGAUGGUACUUUAAGUGUAAUUGCUGAGGAAGAAAGCAGUGGAAGUAAGAACGGGAUUACUGUAACCAACGACAAGGGAAGACUAUCAACUCAACAAAUUAUGAGAAUGAUUCAAGAUGCCGAGAUAUACAAGGCUGAAGACCAGAAGUACCAAAAGAAAGUUCAAGCAAUUGAUGCUAGCCAGCAGACAGAAACAGAGGUGUUUGUGGAUCAUCUGAAUGAGGUGAAGAGCCUCAUUGAACUCAUUAUGAGGAUUAACUAGUUUGUUUCAAAACUCAAAUUUGGAAAAUCGAUUAUGCUUCUUGAAAAACAUCACAAUCGAUUUUUUAAAUUAUUCUGAAUGUAUAGUGUUGAUAAAAAAAAUAAGAUAAACCAGUUAUUUAGUUUCUCAAACCACUUUUCUUGUUCCUCAAAGCACGAGCUCUCUCGUUUUGUUCUAGGAAGAAGAGCAAAUCACAACAAACAAAACUAUCACAAAACUAAUUUUAUUUAUACACAAAGUUCACGUUCAUGAGUCUACAAUUUUUUUGUCAAGAUUCUUUUGCACCCAGCACUGUAAAGAAGAAAACCGAAAACUCAUUCACAUGCAGAUGCCUACAUUGUUUAAUAUAUUUGAUGGAAGGGUAACAAAAUAAAUUAGUAUUUGUGCUUCUAUAUUCCGCGCAAAUCUUCUCAGUUUUAUGAAGAGUGAAAAAACUAUCUACCCUGCUCUCCCAUCCGCACUCACACUCUCAUAUACACUCAUCCAAACAAAAACUCUUUCCACUUCCCUUCCUCCUCUUUUGUCACACCUUGAAGCAAAUAGGAUGUAAGAUUGAGGACAUGCAAAUGAACAAGAUUACGUGAACCUUCCUAACCCAUUAGACAUCAUAUGAUAGUUUUAUUUAUAUAUUGAUUUGAUCUAUUUAGAAAAAAUGUCAAAUCUAAGCAUUUAUAAGCAAAGUUGGAAGUUUUUAGAAAAUAGUAGGCUUGAACCUCUUUUAAGUUAUAGUAUUUUUUUUUUUAUGCUAUAUCAAUAUUAUAUGAGUUAAAAUUGUUUUAAAUAAUUUUCAUUUUUGAGAUCCAUCUAAUACUCCAAACCAAACAAGCAUUAUCAACAAUUCCAUUUUUAUGCAAAAUUCAUCCAUAGAUAAAAAUAAAACAUGCAACAAAAAUAACUAACUGAAAAAUAAAUUAUACACCAUAAUAACUUUAUAUUAUCAUACAAUGACACAGUGUAAAAUAAAGAUAUUAACUUUUACUAUUAUCAAAACUUUAUCUGCCAAACGUUUAAAAUCAAACAAUUUCAACAAAAUCUUUAAAUUUUAUUGGACUUUCCUCAUCUGUAUCUAUUUCUACAGAAAUGGCUUUAACUGCUUACUCGUAUUAACAGCUACUUUCGUAUAAAAUAUAUGUUGACAAAUUAUUCAUGGGCAUAAUUUAUUCUAAAUUUUUCACCAAACACUUGCAAAUAUCACUCAAUUCACAAGAUAAACCGGGCCAUAAAUUAUCUAUUCCAGACGAAACCAUGAAGCAUAAAAUUGACAACUGAAAGUAGCUAAAUAAACUAAAAGUUCAUGAAAAUCGAGAGUUAUUUUCGUAACUUCAGAUAAGCCUUUUUCAAAAGCGAUAAAAAUGAACUCCUACUCAACCGUACAAAAUACUAAAAAUGUAGAAAAUAUCAAUACACCAAUUCUUCCAUCUUAACAAUGCAAUGCUACAUAGUAUCACUAGCAAAAUAAAACCGGUAAAACACAACUAAAAAAAAAGAUAGUCCCAGGGAACAGCAAGGGGACAAAAAUAUCAACUCUGAGGCGAUGCUUUAGCAACGGCAGUCUGAGGCUGAGUGUUCCCACUGGCAUUACCAUCGGCAGUAUAUGCUGGAGCCUGAGUAUAACCAGCACCAUAAGAACUACUGCUGUAUGGAGGCGGUGCCUGACCAUAAGUAGGCUGGCCACCCUGAGGUGCACCAUAUGUUUGAGAACCAUACCCUGGUUGCCCUGCACCAUAUCCCGAAGGUGGUGCUCUCUGAGCACCAGAUUCUGGUUGGGGUUGAGAAUAACCAGAUGGUGGAGGCUGCGCAGGAUAUGCUGACUGACCAUAGCCUCCUACCGCACUAGGUGACUGUGACUGUCCAUAAACAGGAGGAUUAGCACUUGGCUUUUGAGAUUGAGGGGCUCCAUAACCUGGCUGUGGUUGACUUCCAUAAGCAGCUUGGGAUGUAGGGGGAACCCCAUAACCUGACUGAGGAGUUCCCUGAGGUGGGUAGCUGGCAGUGUUUGAGCUGGGCUGUUGGCUGGUAGGAUAACCUUGCUGUGGCUGUUGGGUAGAUGGAGCUUGGGCUGAAUCUCCCUGAGAUGCAUAACUUGCAGUGUGGCCAUCUGGUGCUGAGUUAUUCCCACUACCAUAGCCGGUAGUAGCUGACCCAUAGCCUUGCUGCUGAUCAUAUGCUGGUGGCUGUCCAUACCCUGAUUGAGAUUGUGCAUUGUAUGCAUUAUAGCUGUCCUGAGCAUAACCCUGUCCGGGUUGGCUAUAACCAAAAGAAGGUGGUUGACUGUAACUGUAAGCAGAGCCAUCCGCUGGAGGUGCAGGGCCUCCAGGAUUUUGCGGUUGCUGUGGCUGUUGACUAUAGUAAUCAUAGCCACCAGCUUGAGUAGACUGUUGGUGAGGUGGUGCAGAAGACUGGUCCCAGCUGGUGGAAUAUCCACCUGGUUGUUGAGGAGGAUAGCCUGCAUAAGGUGGUUGAGGCAUAUUAUACUGAGGUGAUGGACCAGAAUAUGCUCCAGGUUGCAUAUAGCCAUAACCAGGUUGCUGCAUUUGAGCAGGGGGAGCCCAGUUCGAGGGUGGUCGAGAUUGGUAGCCUUGCUGAGGAUAUCCACCAGACAUUGAAGGAUUUCUAACACGAUUCUGUGGAGACAAAUUCAAACCAAAUAUGAAGAGUGAAUUCACCCAAGUUUCCACAUUUCGAGUACAGAAAUCAACAGAUGCACACACAUACACAGGUUAAACUUACGCAGUUAAGAAUAAACAUGAAGAACACAAGAUAAAGUAUACAAGUUGCAUAAAAAGAUUGCAUACAAGAAUAGAAAGGGAUAUAUAUACCAACAUACCGUACUGGUUCGUGAUAAAACUGAGUUACUCCAGCAGCACACCUUUUCCCUAUUCGAAUUGAAUGGGUACAAAAGGAAGCACAGACCAAAGAAGCAGACAAGCAUACAAUUUGAAUUGCUUAAAAAGGCAAUCCAUCAUAUAGUAUCACAAAAUAUGUAUGAUCUUAUCUCAAUUAUUACACCAUAUAAUAUAUUCUUCAUAAUCAUAUUAAUUCAACUAGAGUAUCAGGACUACAAAUAUUUUACUGCAUAUGAUGAAGGAGUAACCAUAAAUAUACAGACUGUCAAGACCACUUCCCUGUUCUCCCAUGUACCUCCUUUUAACCUUUGUUUAACCCACUCUAACAGGUUAACCUCAAAGGAUUAUAAAAUAAAAGAAAAUUAAAUUAAAUAUUAUUUGAGUAGAACAGGAAUUGAAAAUAGGGACCUGAAAAUGUAUUUAAUGUGUGUAACUCGAGCGUCAAAACUAUCAGUUAAAGGGCACAAGAUUAAGAAAAACAGUUGAAUGAUAAGACAGAUAAAAAGUGGGCAUGGGCUAUAGAAAGGCAAUGAUGCCACAAGAAAUGAACAACCCACUACACACAUCCGAAACAACAGACGGAUCAUAAAAGAAGUCUUGACACAUAACUUGUUAGUUUAAACAAUUAUAACUAUAAAUUGAUGAAGUAAUAGUAUAGGAAAGUUAUUUUUCCUCACAAUAGCAACUACAGGUUAUUAUGCCAAAUGUAAGUCCAGCAUAAGACACAAAUAUAAAAUAUUUUUUCAAAUAUAUGAAGUUUUUACGAAUUAACUAAAAAGCACAAUUGGCAUGGUUGAAAAGGAUUUCAACACAAUAAUCAAUAUAGUUUAGUAAGGACACUGUAAGUAAAAAAAUGUAUCAAUAGGAGACUUACUGCCCUUGAUAACAAUUAUCAAAACUGAGAUUUAGAACCAUACCAGGGCAUGAUGAGGGAACACCAACAAAGGAAUUCAUGUUGGUGUCACCAAUGGUCCAAUAGACACUAUAAUCCUACAAUAGUCCCAAUAACAAGAUCAGUCAUAGGAUACACAGUUAAUAAUAUUCCAUUGUUGAACAGGCUAUAAUCCCAAUGAGAAUCCACUUGGACAAAAAAAUGUCAUAAUAAUAGUAGCCUUCAUGGCCCCCAGCAACCUAGCCCACAAAAGCGUUGAAAGACCCACCACACUAAUGAACUGGGCCAUGAGAAAAACUUUACCACAGUUAAAACAGUCUUUGCAAGAUCUUGGCAUCUUGGGGAGAAAAGACAAUCCAAUUCGAAAAUAAUCCCAUUAAGGUCCUCACUUUCUGUAUGUAUAAAAAUCGGUAUGAUUUAUUAUCUAAUAAUAUAGCAGAUAACAAUGACACACAAACACAUAUAGACACAGUUUUUUACCAUUGACCUAAGCUAAGACCAAACUAAAGAUACUGAUCUGUGAAUAUGGUACUACUAAAUCAGGACCCAAUUCAUGAACAUACCAUACAUUUGUUAACACCAUAAUAUAGCUGAUAAAUAUCAUGGAUACUACAGUGGCUUGUCUCCCUAAUCAUGUCUGUUUUUGGUGAGCAAAUGCAACUAAGCGGAGGACAAUUGGAGAUUACAAGUAAAAACAUCAUAACAUCAAUUGGCAAUUCAGUGUGUUUUGUUUUAAAGUUGGGAAGUCUCAAACGGAAGUUGAACUCAUUCAGACUAGAGAGAUGGAUUGGAGUGUGUAACUGUUAAACAAGCACACAAUUUAUCUUCCACCAUUUUGCAUUUUUUUAUACUAGUCUUGAAACAAAACUAUGCACUAAUUCUCUUCCAGGAACAAUACAACAAGUAACAGACAUCCAUCGAUAUAGAUGUAUCAAUUAUCAAAAGAUUACUUGUUGAAUAUACUUACAGCUGAAGAAACAGUGCUUAUUUAAACAUAUACUUACAGCUAAAAAGUCAAUUUAAUCAGGAGAUCAAUGAAUUCAGAACAUAUAAGUUGAUUGAUAAUGCUCACGAUAUGAAGUAAUAUCAUUAAUAAGAUCAAUGAAUUGAUAAACAUGGACGUAAACAUCAUUUAUGCCAACUAAGGUGAAAUCAUCACAUAAUUUACCAAAUUAUUCUCUCCCAGCAAUGAAACAGAAUAAAUUAUUGAAGACAAUCCAAAACUCGUCUAACAUGUUAAUGAAUCCAUCAGUUCUAGUUUUAUAUUUUAUUUUAACAUCAUACCAAAUAACAAAGUUCUAGUUCUAAAUUUUAUUUUAAUAACAUACAAAAAUAACGAAGACCCAGGAGGCAAUUACAAGUGCACAAUAUCAUCCUUACAAUCACAUAAAGUCACCAAUGUGAUCAAAUAAACAUUCUAAAAGAUGAUUAUAUAUCAGCAACAAAAAGAAAACAGAACCGAGUACAAAAUCCACAAUUUAAACACUAAACUGUACUUCGCACAAGGCAGGCAUGACAUGCUAAGCCAAAUGUAUCCACCAGAGAAAAUUUUUAACAUACCUCACCACUGAUGACUUGAUUAACCAACUGCUUUGCAGACUCAAUUUGCUCAGAAGUCCCAUCAAUUUUUAAUGUUCUUUCAGUUGAUGUGUCACCUGGGGGAAGAUGAAGUGGUAUCACCUGGAAAAAUAUAGACAUUAGUAUAAAGUGACUCCAGAGGAAUUUCCAAGCCUCGAGUGUCAGAAGUUAUCAUACUCUUUCAUAUUAGCAGUAAUCACAAAGCCACAGUAAAAAAACAUAUCACGAAAUCCAAGCAACUAUGAUUUAGCACCUAUGUCUAAUACACAAUGAAGACAACAAUAUACUCUUUAUGACUUAGAAGUGAAAACCUGAAUCCGUGCACCAGUAGAAGCUUGCAUAUUCUUUAUAGUUUCUCCUCCUUUACCAAUUAUAAGACCAACCUGAAGAUGCAUACAACAAACUAUAUCAACCAAAUCAAUAACACAGAAAUGAAUUAAAACAUUGCACAAAUCUUAAGAUUAUACAAAUCUUAAGAUUAUACAAAUCUCCUUUUUCAGACCUUAUUAUUUGGGAUUUUCAUGACAAAUUCAUCGGACCCAGCUUGUCCAGUCAGUCUCCGAGCAACAAUGCCAGAACCCCCAGAUUCAGCCUGGUACAGAAACAAUUCACGCCAGAUAUAUGUUAAUAUUAAAUCUUCGAGGAAAUUCAUUCGGAAACUAUUCAUGUUAUUCAUAUUAUUACAACUAUCAUUCGGACAACAUCUGAGAUAAUUACACAAAUAUCCCCACAUGCAUAAUUUGCAGAAAAAAAAAACUAAUAAUGAUGCGUGAAACCUCAGCAAGAACUUCAUUGAUGAGUUUCUCAGCAGAGGCAAUUGCCUCGGGAGUGCCCAUAAGCUCAACCGUCCUAGUAGUGGAAUUAGGGUCCGCGUCCAUAUCACGAGUAACUUGAAUUUUGGCACCAGACUGCAACUGGAGAUACUUAAUGGUCUCUCCAGCUUUGCCAAUAAUCACACCAACCCUGCCGUUAGGGAUAUCAAUCUUCUUACUCGUUCCUUGUUGACUGUAGGAAACGGGAGGAAUGGCCGAGUACUGAGGCUUCGCAUCUACGUUCACAGAAAUCAGAGUGUAUAAAACCCUAACCUAAACAAGAAGAAGAGUGGAGAAGAGAAGGAUAUUUAGUUACCGUAAGAAUCGAAGCCAGAGGUAGGAGCACCGUUAUCGGGUUUGGGACGCUUAGCAUCGAGCGGGGGAGGAGGAGUAACGCUGAGGAGGCGAGCGGCGACUUCUUGAGCACGCUGCUUGGCGAGCUCGAUGCCGGUAGCAGGGCCCGCUGAGAAUCCGGUGGGUCUGUCGGAGGGUUGGUCUUCGUACUUGCGCUUGAGGGAUGCCGACUCGGUUCCCGAUGAAUACUGCGCUUCCUCCGCCAUUGGCACAAACCCUAGCCACUCGCGUUACCUGUGUAGGGAGAGCGAGAUAUUUUACUUCGCUUGGGCAACCAAAAAUCACAAGGUGUCUCUACGUCACGGUUGUAAGAAGAAAUUAUAUUUAAAGACAAAUUUUAUUUUCAGAUAAUUGUAAUAUAUUUAUUAUGCAUUACUUCUCCCUUCUUCGAUUAGGCAUUUUAAUAUUUCCUUUCUUUUUUAUAUAUCAUUUUACACUAUACUUUCAAAACUAUUUAAAAAAAAAUCAAUGACUCAAAGUAUCGUCUCUUUUUUAUCAUUGUAAGUAUAUUUGAAAUUUUAUGUCUAAUACUUUUCAUUUAUUUUCUCUCAUUUAUAUAUAUAUAUGAUGAUGAACUUCAACAAUUUCUAUUAUAAACAUAAAUUGUUAAACUAAUUUUAUAGUACAAAGUUUAGCUUUAAUGUAUAACUUAUAUAUUAAAAUUGUACUGUGUGCACUACGACUAACCACACAUUUCACUUUCCACCAUUGGAUCGACUGAAGAUAAGGUCUUCAUAGUGGGUCGACCAACAACUCAAAUCCAAUUACACUUAAGCAGAGUCAGUGAAGUUAAUCUACGAUUAAAAGUUAGGUAAUGUAUUCUUAAACAUGGUCCAACUCCCUAAUAUGGCACAAUAAGAAAUACCCAUUAAAAUAAUAUACAUAGCCCACAUUCCAAGAUUCAGGUACGUCAUCAUAUACAGUGCUCUGACAACUGAGCGUUGAAUACCUUUACUGACUUGAGUGUCAGAGUGUCUUCUGCAGAUACCAUCCGAGUCUGGACUACGAGAAGACUGAUAGGUGAGACGAGUAAGGGGGAGUAAGGAGGGAAGCUGAAGUGCAAUCCGACCGAUAGACUAAGGAAGGAGAAGAGUGAUCUCAAUAGUACUCUGGGCCCUGACCCCGUUCGAGAACUAUUGACGCCCACCGUGGGGCCGAGAGAAUUCGUGUGAAGAGCGUUAGUAGAUGGUAUCAACCCGCAGCAUGGCAAGUGAGAGGAUUACCGAAGUUGAGCAGAUGAUGUUGUUGAUGUCUCUACAAAGAGAGAUGGUCGAGAUGAGGAGGAAGAAUGAAGAGGUUAACAAGAAGAAUGAGGAGGAGAUUCUAGCCCUUAUGAGGGAGAACACGGAGAUGAAGAGAAGUUUGUCGAGGGGGACCGUCUAUUGUACUGACUAACCUCGUCGGUAGGUCGUUCACCUCCCCUCGCGACCCAAAAAUAGUUGAGGAGACCAAGAACAAGGUCCUUCUCAAGAGAUGGAUGGCAAGUCCCAUCCAAACAAGUCAAUCCACACAAUUGGGACCUCAGAUUCAGUGCAUCGACAUCCCUUUACCGAUUAUGUAAUUGAGGUACCACUACUGGAUAAGUGGAAAGGCUUCAAUAAGGAUCGUUAUGACGGCACAACCGACCUAGAUAAGCACAUGGAUGAGUACAGUAUACCACAUGGUUGGCCAACGUGGUCAUGGUUACCAAGUCUAAUGACAAGUGGAGGAUGUGCGUCGACUAUACGAACCUCAAUAGGGCCUACCCGAAGGAUUCGUAUCCGCUUCCUAACAUCAAUUGGUUGGUAGAUGGAACAACCGUCCACAAAAUCCUAAGCUUCUUGGAUGUUUACUCUAACUACAACCAGAUAAGCAUGCACCAUUGGGACAAGGAGAAAUUUGUCUUUAUAAUUGACGACGCCAACUAUUACUAUGAGGUGAUGUGGUUCGGUGUAAAGAACGCUGGAGCAACCUACCAGCGGCUCAUGGAUAAGAUCUUUAAGGGACUUAUCAGUCGGUGUGUGAAGGUUUAUGUGGAAAACAUAGUGGUCAAGUCUGACUCGUGUGACCAACACAUCAAGGAUCUUAAAGAGGUGUUCGAAGCGAUGAGGUGGGCGUACAUGAGGCUCAAUCUAGAAAAGUGUGCAUUCGGUGUUGAGGGUAGUAAGUUCUUGGGUUUCAUCCUAAUCCAUCAGGGGAUAAAAGCCAAUAUGGACAAAUGUCGAACGAUCACAGAGAUGCGGAGCCCUCAGAACAUAAAGGAAGUUCAGUAGCUCAUAAAGCGUCUUACCGCCCUCUCUAGGUUCGUCCCUCAAUUGGUCGAGAGGACGAGGCUGAUGGUGCAGCUACUCCGCAAGAUAGCUAAGUUCAGUUGGUACGAGAAGUGUGAAGAAAUUUUUCAACAACUGGAGGAUUUCUUAUCCUCGUCAGUAGUUAUCCAGAAGCUUAGACCCGACCAACCCAUUCUGGUGUAUCUGUCAGUCUCCGAAAAGGCUUGCAACGUUGUGCUGGUUUAAGAAGUGGUGAUCUCCUUUUGGACCAAGCUCUCUAGUUUGGAUUUAAGGUCACCAAUAACCAAGCCGAGUAUGGGGUUAUCCUAGCCGAGCUAAACUUGUCGUAUGACAUGAGAGCUCACGAGGUAACUUGCAAAAGCGACUCCCAGGUAGUGAUCGAUCAAAUCAAAGGAGAGUUCGAAGUAAAGGAACCCUUGCUCCAGAGAUAUUAUCAUACGGUCGACAACCGCACAACCCGGUUUCAAAAAGUGCGGUGGAACACAUCCGUCGGCAUGAAAACAAGAAAGCCGAUGCAUUGUCUCAGCUACUGACGACCAAGAAGAAGAGCCACCACAAGUCUGUCAUGCAAAUUUGGCUAAGACAACCUAGUGUGGCAGAAGCCGAGUGCCUAACUGUUACUGAGACCAAGACUGGGAUGACCCCGAUCGUCCAGUACCUUAAGCACGACACGUCCAAAUCAGACGAGGAAAAGGCGAUGAAGCAACAAUGUUCAAGGUACACUAUGAUCAACCAGUAUCUCUACGCAGGAUCAAUGUUCAAGGUACAUUACUCAAGGUCAUUACUAAAGUGCAUCACCAAAGAACAGACAGAGUACGUCCUCAAGAAAAUCCAUGAAGGAGUUUGCGACAAUCAUUCAAAAGCACAAACGAUGGUUAUCAAAAUCCUCAAGGUCGGUUACUACUGGCCGACCGUCCAGGGUGACUAUGCAUAAUUUGUGAAGAAAUGCGUCAAGUGCCAAGAGUUCGAUCGUCUGCACCACCUUAAGCCAUAAGCGAUGCAUAGUAUGACAUCCCCAUGGUCGUUCUCCAUCUGGGAAUGGACAUCAUUAGUCCUUUCACUCCGGGGAAGGGGCAGGAAAAAUUAUUCCUAGUCGGAGUGGACUACUUCAUCAAAUGGAUCGAGGUCGAAUCGCUCACAUCCAUCUCGGUGAAAAACGUGCAAAACUUCAUAUGGAGAAGUAUUGUGUGUCGGUUUGAAGUGUCGCACACUAUAAUAACUGAUAAUGACCAACAGUUCAUCGAUCGAGGACUUUAGUCUUUCUAUGAUGACCUUGGUAUCAAGUCAAUAACCAGCUCGGUCGAGCAUCCCCGAAUCAACGGGCAGGUCAAAGCUGCAAACAAGGUCAUUUGAACAAAUUGAAACAUCAACUCGAUGGACCGAGGAACUACUGGAAUUUCUGUGGGCAUAUCGUUGCACCCCCAAACAUCCACACAAGAAUCACCGUACAACCUAACGUAUGGAACUAAAGUUAUGAUCCCGGUUGAGAUAGGCGAGUGAUGAGCAUAUAUUUAUUCACACUCAAUAACUUUAAUCAUGGAUUAUUGGAUUAUGAUAAUAAAUAAAUCCAUUGUUUUAAUUUAGAUUUAUAUAAUUGGGUUUAUUUGGGUCUUUAUUGUUAAUUUUGUGUUUUUAAAGUAAAUUAUCUGGAGGAAGCAUAUACAUUUGUAAAUGGGUCAAAUAUGCAAAAGUUCAAGUUGCUUCUUGAACCAAAACAGGAAACAAAUUCUGGAGAGAAGAAAGAGAAAAUAAAAUCUACAAUAUCUCAGAAACAAAAUUGGAAGCAAAUCUUCUGCAAAAUACAAUAAUUUUGGAAAGUUGGAAACUGUUAACAAAAUAUAAACUACAAUAUUUUUCCAAGAUCCUUUGAGCAGAAAAGCCUAUAAAAGGACACAAGCAUCGAGGAGAAAAAUAGAGUUUCAUAGGGUUUUUUUAGUUUUUUUUCUUCUUUGUAAUUCUUUUAUUUUGUCUCUGCAUGGAAGGCUAAACCUUUUUUGUUGAUUCUUUUGUAAUUCCCCAUUGAGUUUUGAGGUUUUUUUCAAUAAAAGUUUCGAUUUUUAAUUAUGUAUAACAGUUGUUUUAAUAGUCUAAUCUCCUGGAAAACUGUUUUUUAUGAGAGGUUGUACUUGAACGCAUGAUUGAGAGUCUUCCUUAUCUUAAACUUUGGUUUCUUAGUUAGUACGUAUUGUUCUAAUUAAUUUAUUGGGCGCAUGAUUCAAGAGAGAGGUGGUAAGCAUUCCCAUGGAGUAUACGCAUGGAACAAAGUGGGUAUUGGUUAAACCAGUAGACACAUGCUUUACUGGUGAGUUUCAGUUGAAUCAGAUCGGCUCAUGUUCAAUCUGGUUUAACUCUGUUGAAGGAUUAAGAAAAGAUUAAUCUUUAGAGAACUUGUGAAGAAUUCAAUGGAGGAAGAACUUGGGAUCAACCGCUUUUUAUUUGUUGUUUCAAAUAUCUUUUACAUUGCAUACAUAACUAUCUUAACCCCUUUUUAUUAUUAUUGUUGUUGCUAACUUUUAUUGCUUGCAGGUAGAUUCUAAACACUGAUCUACUGAUUUUACUAUUGGAUUCAUUGGGAGACGACUUGGGGUCAUCUGACCACAAUUAUACUAUCAUCUCUAUAGUGUUAGACAAGUCUACGCUAGAAUCAUAUUAACUCUGUUGGAGGAUUAAGAAAAAAUUAAUCUUUAGAGAACUUGUGAAGAAUUCAAUGGUGGAAGAACUUGGGAUCAACCGCUUUUUAUUUGUUGUUUCAAAUAUCUUUUAUAUUGCAUACAUAACUAUCUUAACCCCCUUUUUAUUAUUAUUGUUGUUGCUAACUUUUAUUGCUUGCAGGUAGAUUCUAAACACUGAUCUACUGAUUUUACUAUUGGAUUCAUUGGGAGACGACUUGGGGUCAUCUGACCACAAUUAUAUUAUCAUCUCUCUAGUGUUAGACAAGUUUACGCUAGAAUCAUAUUAAUUUGACAGCAAAACGACAACUAUCAGCGAGCCUACCAUUCGAAGGAAACUGUUUGAUAUGUUAAACGAGCUCCGCGACAAGAGCAAAAUCCGUGAGACCACGUGCAAUCUUUAAGUGGCAAGGCAGUACAACAUAAAGGUCCGACCGAGUAGCUUUCAAAAGGGAGAUCUUGUAUGCAGAAUGAGAAGCGAAGCAAGGAAUAAUGAUGACAAGUUCUCAUCUAAUUGGGACGACCAUUUUCAGGUAUGAGAGGUUGCAGUUGGGGGGGCGUACCACUUAGAGUGGUUAUCAGAAAAAAUUGUACGAAGGACGUGGAAUGUCACACACCUCAAGUUUUAUUAUAGUUAAACAAGCAAUAAAACUUGUGCACUUUUACCUCACCCGACCUUUUUUCCCUAAGGAGGGUUUUUGGUGGGACAGGUUUUAACGAGAUAUUUAUCUUCCAUUCUGUGCAAUUUUAAGUCAAAUUCAUGCAUCUCUCAAUGCUCGGUUCAGUCAAGGAUGUAGCCCUAACCGGCAUACCUUAGCAAUACCUAAAAGACUUGGUUCAGUCAAUGAUGUAGCCCUAACUGGCAUAUCCUACCGAUGCCUAGAAAGCUCGGUUCGGUCAAGGAUGGAACCCUAACCGGCAUACCCUACCGAUACCUAUAAGACUUGGUUCGGUCAAGGAUAUAGCCCUAAUAGGCAUACCCUACCGAUACCUACAAGACUCAGUUCAGUUAAGGAUGUAGUUCUAACCGACAUACCCUGUUGACACCAUAAAGACUUGGUGCGGUCAAGGACACAACCUUAACUGGCAUACCCAACCGACACCUUGAAGUCUCGGUUCGGCCAAAGACGUAGCCCUAACUGGCAUACCCUGUCGAAACCAUAAAACAGUCACAAACAAACUUAGUCGAUAUUGUUGGGACCACUAUUUAUAGCUCGUGAGGGUCUCAAGAGACGAAUUGUCACAACCAUCCUAACCAUUAGAUCUCCUCGAUCCAACGGUCUUCGUCGAUUGACGCCUAAAAACUCUCAUUAAUGCAUGUCACAUCAUCCAUUAACGUGUCGUCAGACAUCACGUCAAGCCUCGAGAAGCCCAAUCGUCACGUCGUACCUUGGGAAGCUUGAUCGCCACAUAAUUCUCGACUCUUCGGAUUAAUCAUCUUCGAUCUUGGGGGCAAGUGUAUCGGUGAGGGUCGUACGACUGACCACAUGUCUCGAUCCUCAUCAUCAGGCCGACCGAGGAUAAGGUCCCCAUCAAUGGGCUGACCGACAACUCAAAUCCAAUUACACUUAAGUAGAGCCAGUGAAGUUAAUCCACGAUUAAGAGCUAGGUAAUGUAUUCCUAAACAUGGUCAAACUCUCUAAUCUGACCCAAUAAGAAAAAACCAUUAAAAUAAUAUCGAGCGUCAGAGUGUCUUUUACUGGUACGUCAUCGUAUACAAUGCUCUGACAACCAAGCGCUGAAUACCUUUACUGACUUGAGCAUCAAAGUCUCUUUUACAGGUACCAUCCGAGUCUGGACUACGAGAAAACCAAGAGGUAAGACGAGUGAGAAGGAGUAAGGAGUCUGUAAGGAGGAAAGUUGAAGUGUAAUCCGAGCGACCAACUAAGAGAGAGAAAAGUGAUCUCAAUAGUUCUUUAGACCUCAAUCUUAUUCAAAAACAAAAAUUAUUUUCUAUUGUUUCAAAAAUAUUUAUUCUUCAUCGCGUGCACUAAAGUACUAAUUUUUUCAGCUGGAAGUGUAAAAUAAAAAUUAAAACACGCUUAAAAAAAACUAUUUCUUACAGUUUAAAGUUUGUUUUAAAAACUCAAAAUUGUGUAAAUAAUAACUAAGCUCACUCAUAUUGUAUAGUUUUUAAAAAUUUUAACACACAAAAAUUGUCUUAAAAAGGAAUGUUAUAUUGUUAAAUGCUUUCAAAAUUUAAAUAAAACACUCCAUUCAAAAAAAUAUUUUUGACUGAAAUGAUUUUUUUUCUUUUAAAAUAAUAACUAAAACUUAAAAUAUAUAAUAAAGGAUUAUAAAUAAGUUAAAUUAAGCCCGUUUGUUUCCUUUAUUUUACUGUUUUGUUGUCCAAGUUUGGUCAAUUUAUAAGUGAAAAUAUUUAAACUUAAAAAUAAUGAUUUUAAAUAAAAAAAAAUUAAGAAAGUAAGAUUUAUUAAAAUAAACUGGGAAUUACUUAUUUAUCAAAUCCAUACAAAAGUAUUUAUUUUACUAACACUUUACCAAAUAUGUUAUCAAUUUCUCAAUGUAAUUCAAAAGACUGGUGCAUUUACAAAUACCAAAGUUAUCAUUAAACAUGUUAAUAAGUACUAUUGAAGAAACCAAUAUACUUAUAAGUUAACUUUGAUCGAAUUAAGUAUUGACUAAUGGAAAUAAAAGUAACAUACUUCUAUUAGAGAAUCAGGGUUUGCCCGGGAAAUAGGAAUGAAAUAGAGGAAAUAAAAAUAAAUGAGAUUCAAAAAAGAUAAAAGAAGAAGAUUAAAUAAUAAAUAAAAUGAAAAUAAAAUAGUUUACCAGACAGAAAUGCAUUAUAAAUAGACUGAAAACAAAAAUAAAGAAAAUAAAUGGAAAAAGCAUUUAAUUUUAAAAACAUUAUUAGUAUUAUUGUUUCUUCAUUUGAUUAUUAUAAUUUUUUGCUAUUGAUAUUUAUUUUGUUACUUUUUUAAGGAAAUUUAUUGUUAUUGUUAAUAUUACAUACAUAUUAGUCAAAAUUGAGAGAUUAAUUACGAUGAUAAUACUACAAGAAAAAAGUUUUUUCCAUAGGUUUUAAAAAAAUUAAAGCAUUUUUGGAAGAUUUUGAAUUUUAAGUUUACGGAAUAAGUAUUCUAUAAUAUCAUUUAAAUUAUUUCAGAAACAUUAUUUUACAAUAAAAAUAUUGUAAAAUAGUUAACAAUAAUUAAAAACCAAUAAUAAAUAAUACAUUUAGGAUGUUAUUUGAUUUUUUUAAAAUAUAUUUUUUAAUAAUUUUAAUAAACGCGUAGUUCAUAAAUUUGUUAGUGUAUUAUACAUUUCACUUGAAAGAAUAUUGAAAAUAUUAUAAUGCAGGAAUUGAUUGCCCUAGUUUUGGCGCACUACGUGGCUGGAAUUUUUGUCAUUUUGUGUAAGAAAACUGUGAGGAAAGUAGAUUUGUAAAAUGACGAAUUUAACCUUAUGUUUUAACUUUUCACUGGGUUGAAAAAACAAAUCUCAACCUGCAUAUCUUAAUUUUAUAACUUCUUCAAAUUUAGUCUUCAUCAUUCAUUAAAACCAGGAGCUCUUUGUAUAUUUUCAUCAACUUUAUUUUUUAUCUGUUUUUCCCAAAUCAAAUAACUAAACAUUCUUUCUUUUUUGUUUUACUUAUCUUUUAUCAUACCUUUUCUCUUUUAUUUCCCUUCACUAAACCAAACAAGUAAUGGUGGCAUCACAAACAUGUUAUAUUUUAUUAAUAUUAAAAUUAGUAUAAUUCAAAUAUAUAUGUUUUGUUUGAAUUAUAUGUUAAUUGAAUGGUGAAAAGUAAAUGAGUCAUUUUUUUUAAAAAUAGAAAUUAAAAUCAUUUUGAAUCAAAGAAAAAUGUAAAAAAAUGAAAUGUAGUAUUUAUUAUCAAUGAUUUAUUUAAUUUUAUUAAUUAUUUUAAUAAGUCAUUUUACUAAAAAUAUAAAUAUUAACAAAAUUAACAAUAUAGUAGACCAUGUCUUUGUUUAUGUUAAAACAUAAUUAAUUAUAAAUAUACGUAAAUGUUAAUAAAAAUAGAUUUUUUAAAACAUAAUGAAUUAUAAAAUAUAUGCAAAUAUUAAUAAAAUACUUUUACAUGAUUAAUUUUAUCAUAAACAGUUUACAAUGAUUAUGUAUCAAAUGAUCAUUCCACUAAAAAAGAAAAAGUCCUUUAAAUAAUAUCAUUGUUGAUUUAGAAAGAAAAAGUCUUUCCUCUGACAAAUCCUAUAUAAAAAUCAUAACCAUUCUUUGAAAAUUAUAGAGAAAAAUAUAAACGAGAACUAAGUUUUUCUCACAAGUCAAAGCUUUGUGAAAAUUGCCGGUCAUAGUCCUUUAGUGUGGCUCAUAUAAUUAAACUUCCAAUGGCAAAAACAAAAUUGAUAAAAUAAAUCAAGCAUAAACAUGUGAGUGCGUCAAACAUUUGAAUACUCCUAUUAUAUUUUAUAGUUAAAGUGGGGUGGAUUGAGGAGAGAGAGUGUGCGGAAGGUACAAGUUAGGAUGAAACCAUAAGUUCAAAAUUAUUUAUUGGAACACCAGGAGCCAUUCGAAAGGGCAAUUGGUCCAACGUAAAAACAGUAACUUACAAACCAAACAUGAGUUUCUCACAAACAGUUUUCUCUCGGGUACAGAUGAAGCAACAGAUAAAAAAUUAAAGGGGAGCCGAAGCCCCCAUAAAAAGAGUACAUAGAACAUUCAGAAACUGUGAUAAGGUAAUGUAUCGACACAAUUUCCAUCAAACAUGGGCACUUCUUAUCAAGGUAAAAUAAUACCAUGAAUUUGCUUAUUGUAAAGUAGUUUGGCUGCCAAGAAAUAAGCUAGUCGACCUCACUUUGUCCACCAAUGGAGGAAGUCUUUGCGCCUACUGAUCUUUUUCUGCAGCUGGAGGAGUCCAUACAACAAAGCCUCAGCAGUUGGAGGACAGCCUGGAAUAUAUAUGUCAACGGGAACAAUCCUGUCACAUCCUCGAACCACGGAGUAAGAGUAGUGGUAGUAACCUCCGCCGUUAGCACAACUUCCCAUUGAAAUGACCCAUCUAGGUUCAGGCAUCUGGUCAUAAACCCUGCAAAAAAUUUCGGCGUUACAUAAUGUUCAAAAACAGAACUUGCGUGGGGAGACAUUGGGGAAAACUUAUCCAGAGUUUACUUGAGCAAAUGAAAACAACUUGUAACUCCCAUAAACUUCUUUUUUAAGCUUAUACCAAGCAGUUAUGAAAAAUAUGACAUAAGUUCUCAUGUAGUGUUUGAAACAGGAAGUCUUGAUCCUUUUCAUUCAUGGAGGAAAUGUUUCACGAUUCUUACUUUCAUUGUCUGAUCAGGAUUGCAAUCAUCUCAUGCAGACAGACUCCCAAAUACACUCAUCCUGGUCAGAAGAUGUGUUAGUAACUGGAAAAUUAGCAUCUCUUGCGUUUCAAUUACUUAAAAUAUAUUGGCUGCAAGAGACUCUGGCCCAAGUGAUGCCUAUUUUGGAAGUGGCUAUUUCGGCUCUAGCUUAGGCUUCUAGUUCCUAAAAAAAUUCCCAGCUUUGGAAAAACAAAAAAAAAAUCCUCGUUGAUAAAAGCUUAUAGAAUUAGUGUUCAAUUAAGCUGCUUGGGGAAACUCAUCAUGACAUACUAAUAGAUAAUGACAAGCAACCAAGAAUAUGUAUUAUAACAUAGUAUAAAGGUUAUCAAGUGAAACUGGCAUACUCUAGUACACCUUUUCCAAAACAACUAAAGCAACUUAAAACCAUUUUUAUACUUUAUAGUAACAUGCCAUGACUCGUCCUGUUCACACCUCUCACUCAAUGCAAGACAACCAUUAUCCCCAUCAACUCCACUAGUCUAACUCGGCUAGAUUCCAGCCUUAGAAAUAAACUAAGGUUGACCAUCUACUGAACAGGUCUAGCUCAGCUAGAUUCCAACCUUAGAAUAAACUAAGGUUGACCAUCGACUGAACGAGUCUAGCUUGGUUAGAUUCCAUCCUUAGAAAUAAACUAAGGUUGACCAUUGACUGAACGGGUCUACCUCGGCUAGAUUCCAGUCUUAGAAAUAAACUAAAGUUGACCAUCGACUGAACGGGUCUAGCUCAGCUAGAUUCCAGUCUUAGAAAUAAACUAAGGUUGACCAUCGAUUGAACAGGUCUGGCUCAGCUAGAUUCCAACUUAGAAAUAAACAAAGGUUGAUCAUCGAUUGAAUGGGUCUAACUCAAUUAGAUUCCAUCCUUAGAAAUAAACUAAGAUUGAUCAUCGACUGAACGGGUCUAGCUCAGCAAGAUUCCAGCCUUAAAAAUAAACUAAGAUUGACCAUCGACUGAACUGGUCAAGCUCGGCUAGAUUCCAACCUUAGAAGUAAACUAAGGCUGACCACAAACUGAGUAAAUCGAUUAAAACUCGACCAUGGAAGCAACGAAACAAUGAACGUCAAGCAACUAAAUGAUCAAAAUGAACUACGCGAAAGCUAAAGGCUGAUUUAUCAAGGUACUAAUCUUUCCCUAUAUUUUUAGGCAUCAAAUUUCAAUAUUUUCACGUGCCUAAAAGGAACUUAACAUUUUUUUUAGUGUUGUAUCUGCCAAAAUCUAAUGUUUUCGUACACAACCAUAAACAAAUUAUGCACAACUUACAUCGUGAUUUAUUUCUUGGUUUUUUGGUGUAUAAACCUCUUCGCCUUGUUUAUUCGGCUUGCGGCUGGGAGGCUGUCGUUAUCUCCUAUUAAAAGGGAAUAUAAUUAACUUACAUCGUGAUUUAUUUUUGAGUUUUUCUUAGGAUAAACAUCUUCGCCUACUUGGCUGGGGGCUGUGUACUGAUAUCUCCAAUUAAAAGGAAAUAUAAUUUAUCUAAAGAGUUUCUUAUAGGGCCUAUUGAAUAAAAUUUCCUAGAAUCUUAGCAAAAAUAAAGGAAUAUCUUUUUGUGGUACUUGAAAUAAGGUUGAGGAGAAUUUUAAGGCUUAAAUAAUAUUAGUUAAGAUUUAGAAGAUAAGAGAUAACACUGUAUUUUUUUGUGGUACUUGAAAUCAGUUGAAGAGGCUUAAAUAAUAUUAGUUAAGCAUUAAAUAAUAUUAGUUAAGGAUUAAAUUAUAUUACUUGAAAUUUAGAAGAUAAUUGAUAACUAACCAGGACUUAUAAAUAAGUCUGUCAUGAUGAUGAUGAACAAUAGAACUCAACUUGUAUGCUAUGAUUUGAGGUCAUUUAAACUUUGGACCAUAACACAUGGCAUGACUCAGACUGUUCACACCUCUCACCCAAUGCAAGACAACCAUUAUCCCCACAAGAACCUCUUUUGACAAGCAAUAUCGUUCAAUCAAAGUGAUUUCUAUAACAACAUUUAAUCACGACGAGAAGAGUCUAUUAGCCACGACCUAUUAAUUAGGUGUAUGUGAGGAAGAAAGGCAAGGGUAGCAAGGAAUUAGAAGCAAGUGAAAGCAAUGGGGCAAAUAAAUGUAAAUGGGAAAUCACUCUGGGGAUAUGGAUUAUAAGUUUGCAACAACCAAUAACCUGCGCACAUGCCAGGUGAAGGCAGGAAUCAAGUGAGGAUUGGGAAGGUAGAAAGCAAGUCCCUUAAAGAGCCUACAGACUACAGCUAGUGUAUCCUGGUACCAGAUUUCUAACACUAAGCUAAAAAAAACUAAGGUUACAACACCAAAACAAGAGUCAAUUAAAACAGACAAAACACAUCAUCAUUGGCCAGAUUAAAUCUCCCCGAAAUCCAAUUUAGUCACAGAAAUCCUAAAAUAAAGGACUUCUUGAAAACCGAACACAAAUUAUCUUUAAAACUCUCCAACAUAUAUAUAACAGCAUUCAAACAAAGACGCGAAAGCAUAGACACCAUAUCAAGUCAAAUUGAAUACUCAACCAUGCAAUAUGUCAGACACAAAGCAAAUCAGUGCAUCAGGCAAGGCAUAUGAUAUGAUUUCUAAUCUAGUGGGGAGAGCAACAAAGUGGAAAAUAGAUUAGGGGAAGUAAAAACCCUAGAAAAAGGGAUAGAGGACUUACUUUCGAAGAGCGGGAGCCAUCUUGUUGGUGAGAGUGCCUGCGACGAUCAUGCAGUCAGACUGGCGAGGGCUGGGCCUGAAAAUGAUGCCGAAGCGAUCGAGAUCAUAGCGGGCGGCGCCGGUGUGCAUCAUUUCGACGGCGCAGCAGGCAAGGCCGAAGGUCAUGGGCCAGAUGGAGCCGCGGCGGGCCCAGUUCAUGAGAUCGUCGACCUUGGAGAUGACGAACUCCGCCGACUUGGAGACGCCGACGGGAGAGGAAGCGGAGGGAGGCGGUGGCGGAGCAUAUGGCGUGGGCGUGGGUGUGGAUGUGGAUGCGUUGAGAGUUGGGAGCGUUGUGUGGAGGGAGAGUGCCCGUUGAUGGGAGUGCAGUUGAUGGAAGCGUGAGGAGGCUCGAGUGAGAAGAGCCAUAGUGAUGCUUUGUAUGUGUGUUGCUGUGACCGAAUGAAUCGCACCCAGGUUUCUUUGAGGACUCUCUGUUUACGCCCCCACCCAAACCUUUUUCUAUUUUUCGGAAAAUGGAAGAGACAUCGUUGACGCAACUCCCUACCAAGCUACGUGGCCCCAUUUCAGCUUCAUUCCUAAUUUUUUCCAAAUUACUAUUAUUUAAUUUGUUAUUAAAUAACCAUUCAAAUUCACUACUUUAAUCAUUUUACUUCUUACUACUUCCUUCAUACAAAUCAUGUGUGAUUUAUUUGGUUACUUGUAUUUUUUAUACUAAUUUUUAUGCUUAAUAUUUAAUUAUCCGUAUUUCUAUCUCAUUUUUUAUAUAAUUUUAAUUAUUUAAAUUGUUUAGGUUUCCAACACUUCAAUACUAUGAGAUUAAAAAAAAAAACUUUAUAAUCAUAAAAUAAUAAUUACUUAAAGAGACUUGCUACAAAGUAUAAUUUGGUAAGUAUCUAUAAUAUUUUAAAUGUAAUGAUAAAUUAGCAUCGACUAAAUCGAUUCUACUUAAAAAAUUUUAAAAAUCGAUGACAAUAAAUUAGCAUUAAUAAUGUUAGAGUCGUGAUGCAAAUUCGACAUUAUUGAUUAAUUAACGUCGGUCUUUGUUAGUUAGCAUCGACUAGUUGAUGCUAAAAAACUAUUUUAUUAUAGUGAUAAUAUCUAUAAUUUAUUUGGUUUUAGAUGUUUAUAAGGUGGUGUUGGACGAAACUAGGUUGGGAAAAGUAUGAGUUUAGUAUUAUAAAAGAAUAUUGACUAUAUUAGAAAAGGAUUGAAACAAUCUUAAUUGAGUAUUAGAGUAAUAACUUGUAAUGUCAUGCUUCAAGUAUGUGUAAGUUUGAAUUCUUAAAUAAUUCUUAGGCUAGUUUUGAUAACAUAGUAUAGGAGAAGUAAUGACAAAAUUCUAUUAAAAAAAUUUGGGCGAAUUUCUUGAUUUUUGGACGAGAGAUGAAAGUCUUUUGUAUGAUUGUAUGGUAAGAUGGAAAAUUGUACGUUGGUUUUUCAAAAAAAGAAAAAGAAAUAAUAGGAAUGCUAUAUUAAUUUGGGCAAAAAUGGGAUGGGAAAGUCACAAAAUGUUUAUUGUUUCUUCUAAAAGCAAAAAAAGAUAUAUGUAUGAAAUUUUUUUCCUCAUUAAAUAAGUUAAAAAACACUAGAAAGACAACAUAAAAAGGAAGGAUGAGAUCGGUUCAAUAUUAUGCAAGGACUAAAAUUCUAUAAAUAGAGAAAAUUUAACAUUUUUUUUCCGAAAUUCAUACACUCAUGCAUUGAAUCAAAACAAGUUGAGUUACAAAUUUUACCUAAUAUUUUAUUUACACUACCUUAGCAAUAAGCUAUCCAUGUAGUAAAGGGGAUGUAGGACUUAUUCCCUCCUCUGAAGAAAUCAUAUAAGGGUUUGAACGUCACUCCUUCCUUAUUGUACUCUAAAACUAGUUAACUCAUGUUCAUGUUCAUACAAUAUUUAUUACAUGAUAUAUUUUCUACUAUAUGUUUGUAAAAUUUACAUUCUUUGUAUUGACUUCUAGUUCCGUCUUUUCCAAUAUUUUUUUUCCUAAAAGUAAAUACCAUUUCCACAUUUUCAUCAUACACUUAAAAUUUAUAUAGGAGAAAAAUAUAGAUAAUCUUUUGGUGGGUAUGUAUUUUGUGUGUUUUUUUUUUCUUUUUUAAGAAAUGGUAAUCAUAUAUUUGAUAAUUGUCUUCACUCGUCUUUAUUUUAAUGUUUAAGUGAGUUAAAAGCUCACGUUAUAUAUAAAUGAGUAAUAAGUAAUAUAUAUAAUAAAAAAAGAAUCGCAAACACAAGGUUUUGGAUUAAGUGUUUAAGUGUGAGUUCAAAUCUCACAUUACUUAAAAGUUAUAAUUUGAACAUUGUCUACUUAGUGUUUUUGGCUUUAAAAUUCCCAUUGAAUGGUAUUAAAGUCUUUUGCUUACUAUUGCCUUAAAGUUUAGAGUUGAGUAUGAUGUUAUAUUUAUGUGGUUGAUUCAUGACUUAUUGAUUAAUAUUUUCUUAAUGUGUCUUUUCUUAACUUUUUCGUCAAGUGGUGUCAAAGUUUUAAUCUCAUUAUUGUCCUAAGAUUUUAUAUUGAGAGUAAUAUCAUGUUAUUUCAUGUUGUUGAUUCAUAGCCAUUAGCGCAUAUUUCCUAAUUAUGUUUCCUUUUGUAUUAUUAAAUAUCUUCAUCUAUCACAAGCAUAAGUACAAAAUGUCUUUGAUAAUUAACUUUAUUUCUAUUGUCCUCUUGUAUAUACAAGUUUUGACCAUACUUGUUGUGUUCAUGUCUUAAUGACAAGGAAAAUGAGUGAUUCAAAUUACAUGUUUAAUACAUUCAUCUAUUAUAAAUGUAGAGUUAUAUAGGUGAAUUCAACAUCAUUCAUAUUCUAUAGUAAAAUGGGAAAGUUACCCAUUAUGUUUAAUAUUCUUUCUAGCCUCUUAGUUGGUAAAUGAUAUAUGAUUAACUUUAACAUAGGGUAUGCUUUGUUAGUACAAAAGCUAUUGCUAACUUUUUUGUUCAGAUAUUGCUUGAUCUAACCCAAAUGCCACCUAAUAUCAUAAAAUCAUCACUUUAAUUAUUAAUGGGAAUGUAUUUUGCUUUAAAUUUUUUUCUGCAUGAUGAUAACCGGGUAAAAAUUAUUGAGAAAAGAUUAAUCUUUAGAGAACCCGCGACAAAUUCAAUGGUGGAAGAACUUGGGAUCAACGACUUUUUAUUUGUUGUUUUGAUCUCUUUUAUAUUUUCCUGCACAAUUAUCUCAAACCUUUUUUUUAUCAUUAUUGUUAUUUAUAACUUUUAUUGCUUGCAGAUAGAUUUAAAACAAUGAUUUGUUAAUUUAACUAUUGGAUUCGUUGGGAAAUGAUUUGAGGUCCUUUGACCACAAUUAUACUAUCAUAUCUCUAGACAAAUCUAUGUUAAAAUCAUUAUAAUUUGACCGCAAAACGACAGUUAUCAAACGUAAACUAAAUAAUGAUAAAAAAAAAUUAAUAUUGGUUAUAAUGAGUUUGAGACGUUAAAAUGAAUUCAAACUCAUGAUUUAACUUGACUCAUAUUAUAGGUUCAAAUUGAGUUAGAUUGAAAAAAAUAUACAUUUUAGAUGCGAAUUAAGUUGGAUUGGAUGUUAGUUGAUUUGUAAUGCUUUGAUUUUCACUUACUUAGUGUCUUUAUAAUAUUACUUUAUAAUUAUGGGUAAUACUUGAUCACAUAAGUGAAUAUUUAAUUGUGCUACUAUAAAUAAAUUAUUCUAGUCAAUUUAUUUCGUAUUGCAAUAUAUAUAUAUAUAUAUAUAUAUAUAUAUAUAUAUAAUAAGAUAGAAAAAUAAAAUAUACUUCAAUAAAAUAUACUUAACAUACCAAUCUAAAGUAGAUCAAAUCGAAUUAAAAAAAUUUAAGUAAAAAAAAAUAGUUGAAUUGAUUAUUUUUAGUUUGAUGUAUAACUAACUUUUUAUGAUCCAAUUAAAGUCACAUUUAUGUCCAAUCUUAAAUACAUUUUUUAUAAAUAAAACAUUAUUACUUAUAAAUUAUAUUUUUGACAAGAAAGCAAGAGAUAACAAUGUCAAAUUAUCAAAAUUAUACUUAAUGCAUAAAUAAAUUGAACUUAUUACAAAAAUGGAUGAACGGCAGUCAAAAUUGUACAUAAAUUUAUCACUAAUGUAUAAAAUAUUUUUUAGAUUACGACUGGUUUAAUAACCAUUGAUCCAUUCUUUAUAUCUUCUUAUUAAAUUAUUUCCUAACAGAUUUUAAAUUAUUUCCUAACAGAUUAGUAGUUUUUUAUUUAUUUGAAAUAUUAUCUAAAGAAACGUUCUUUCAAUUUUUUAUAUUUAUUUUCAUUUUAUCCUUAGAAUAUUACGUUUACAUAGAAUUUUUAUUUUAAAUUUUUUAUAAAAAAUUUCAUGUCAAACAUCACUAUGUAAUUUGACAUAUCACUUACACCCCACCUCAAGUAACAACAAUCAUUUGCCAAACAUGAAAAAAAUAUUAUUAAAAAAAAUAAAAAAUAUGAAAAAAUAAACCAAAAUUCAUAUAUCAACAAGAAUACAAUAAUGGAAAUACUAGAAAAUAAGUUUAUUUUUUUUUAUAUUAUUUUGAUAUUUUAAAAAUACUUUUAAUUUAAUCUUUCAUUUCAACUGUUAUAUUAUUUAAAAUGUUUGUUUAGUAUUGUUUGUUGUUAAUAGAUGGUAUAUAUAUUUUUAACAUAUCAUGAUACCAAACCCCACAAGUAUCUAUAACCAUCGAAUUUCAUAAAUAUUCUUAUAUCGAGAUAAUUAAAUUAUUUUUUAAAUUUAAAUAUUUAUGUUAAUAAGAUGUUUUUAAUUAACUAAUUUUCCCAUUCUGAUUCAUUGAAACUUAAGUGGUUAAUGAGAGGUUGUUGGAUUUUUUAUUUAUUUUGUUUUACUUGAUAUAGUUUACUUGUUAGAUUAUUUUUUACUUAAGUUUUGGAGAAAUAAACUUUAUUUAAAAUUAUGUUAUUGAAAUUAAAUAAACUUAUUUAUAUUCAAAUUUUCGUCUUGGACUUAUUAUAUAUAUAUAUAUAUUCCAAUAGCCAUAAUAAAUAUUGAUGGUAGUUUUAAAGUGGGCACCCGUACAUGUUUGCUUAUGGGUAAUGAAUAAAUCGGCUAAAGUAGGAAAAUGGAAGGAAAAUUUUAAAUUUUAUUAUUGAUUUGAGUAAAAUAUUUUUUUACUAAAUUGGGUUAAGUUGUGUAUGAUGAAAAACGAUUUUAAUUAAAAAUUUGUAACAAAAUAAAUUUAUUGAUAUUAUAUAUGAUUUUUUGACGAAUUUUGUUAAAAUUAUAUAACAUCAAAAUAUAUUAAUUAAUUAAUAUUAUGUAUGAGUGACACAAUUUUAAUGUAUUAAUGUAAUGGAAUAGAACUUCAAUAAAGAAAAGACCAUCAAAAAGUGGUAAAAUAUUUUAGAAACUAAGUGCAUACAUAUAAAUGUAGAUGUAACUACCUUGAAGUAAAAAUAAAUAAAAUAAUAAUCAAAAUAAAUUUAUAAUAAUAAUAUUAACAAUAUUAAUUUAAUUUUAAUUAUAUCUUUAUUUUAUGAUUUUUUUUAUAUUUUUAAAUAUAUUGAUAAUUUUAAAUAAUUUGUUGUUUUUUAGUUGAGUUGACAAAAUUAUACGAGAAUACUUCUUUAAUCAAAUGUUAUAAUAUAUCAAAUGUUAUAAUAUGAUUUUUUUUCUACUUGAUUAUUAUAAUUUAACUUUUUUUCCCAUCAUAUUCUAUUAUAAAAUUUUAUAUUUAAUAUUAAUUAUUUAUUGAACUUUUAUAUCAAUUUUAGUUUCAGAUUAUUUUAUAGUUUCACAAAAUUUACAAUUACUUAAACAUUUUACAACUAAUUCUAUUUUAAUUUUAUUAACUUUAUUAAAAAUCAUUUUUAUCCUGUAAUUUUUGUUCCAAUUGAGUCAGGAAUAAUAUUUUAAUUAUAUAUCAAGUUUCAUGUACAAAUUAUAUUUUUUUUCAAUUGAGUCAGGAAUAAUAUUUUAGUUAUAUGUCAAGUUUCAUAUACAAAUAAAUAAUUAUAUUUUAUUUUAAAUUGAUUUUAACGAGAAAGAUAAAAUUGUAAAAUAAAUAACAAUCAUACUCUAGUAAAUUUUUAUAAAUUUUUCUUUAUUUCUUUUUAUUUUCACUCUCUCACUUAAUUCAAACAAGUCUUAUUUUUCAUUUUUCUCCUUAAAUUUAUUUUUUGCUCUUCCACAAUAUAAAUAAAUCAUAAAGUAAAUUAAACAGACAAAAUGAAUAGAAAAGACAUGAAAGAUUAAAGUAAUAAUAAUAUUUACAACGUAGUUUCUUUUAGUUACGAGGUUGAAUGCAACCCAGAAUAUUUUUAUUUAUAACUCCUGGUAGAAGGUUAAAUGACAUGUCAUCUAAACAUUGAACAUUUUUUUAUACAUAUUUUAGUCUCUAUAUAAUAUAUUUUCAAUUAACCUUAUAAUAUAUCUAUAUUUUGAUAAAAUAUAUUAACAUAUCUAAUUUAUAUUUAGAAGAUUAUAAUUUUAUCCAUUAAUGUACUAACAUUAUUAGUGUCACAGAUGUGCGAAAAGAAGAUUAAACAAAAACGAAUAAGGCCCUAAAAGGUCCCUUCCUUUUGAGUAAGCCCAGCCCAAUUACCAUGCUUCAAAGUCUACAAAAAGUUCUUUCACUUUUCAACCACGUGCGGGGUACAAAGGUGCGUUGACUUAAAACAUGGUUUUUGUUUCAGGGUAACAGUUUUUUAUUACGUUUCCUUCGUUGGAAGUGAUUAAAUUAAACUCUUCUCUCCGCAAACAUCUUCUUCAUUCUUCUUUAUCAUCUCCCAGUUCAAAAACUAUCUACGAUCAUAUGAACCCUAAAUCCUAAAUGCGUGAAAAAACGAAACAGAGAUUCUAAAAGAAAAGGAAUUAAACAAGAAACAAUGCAAUGAAGCUAGAGGGAAAAUUGGAAGAAAUAUUAUGAACACUUGGCGUCUAAGUUGUGUACGUGGUUUCCAGGAAGCAGUAGUGGCAUUGGGAUUGAGUUUCAAUAAAUGCUCACAACUCGCAAUAAGUAAAUGGCUAGCGUAUUGAAAUCUGCAACUGCAUCUGCUUGCUCUGAGAUCGGCACCAUGCUCUUGGAAUUCUCGAUAGUUAUUACUCACUUUUCUCUCACUCUACAAUGGACCAUUCACUCCUAUAUAUAUUAUUUGAUCAAAAUUUUCAAUGAUGUUUUUACAAGAUUUUAGAUAUUAUAAUGCAGACAAAUCCCAUGCAACAGAGUACACGCUCGUUUCCUUCAAUUAGUGUCUUUUCCCUUUGCUACUACUCUCUUUGCACUGGAAAUGCUUGAAGCUGUGUAUUGAUACGAUGGUUGUGCUUCCUAAGCCAAAUAAAUCACACAUGCCAUUCUGCCAUGAACACAGUGCUGCUAGAGCUGGUCCACAUACAUUAUCUUCCUUUCCAUUUUAUAGUAAUAGUACAUUAAUUACUCUCUUCAUUUAAUGUUAUUUCAUUUUUUAAAAUGUUUCUAAAACUUCUUACACAUAAAUAAAGAAUGUGUAAUAAGAGUGAAUGAUCAAAUUAAUAAAUCAAGAUAAGCUUCAAUACAUGUUUUUUACUUGUUAUAAUAUGAGUUAAUUUGAGUUUAAUUAUGUAAAUAUUGUUUUUUUUCCUUCUAAUAUUGAUUUUUUUUAUCUCUAAACUUUGACCCUUAAUUUUGUUUCAUUUUAAUAAAUUUUUUUCGGUUAAAAAACUAUUCAUUUUAACGCUUUAGUUCAUUUGAUUAUUUUUUUAUUUUGUUCAAACGAUAUAUUACAAUAAGAAAGUAUAAUCUCAUUUUCCUCAAGUUAACACAUUUUUCAAUUUUUUAUAAUUAUUUAAUAUUUAUCCAAUUAUUGUUUGGUAAUGUGAUUUGACAUUUAUGCAAGUAUAUUUUUUUUAUUGAUAUUUAAUAUUGGAAAAAAGAAAAUAUGUAUCUUUUUGCUAUUUUUUUUUAAAAAUAUUUAAUUAAUAUUUUGAACUGUUGGAGAUCUCACAUCGACUAGAGAUUAGAACAUUUUAUUGUAUAUAAGUGGGUGCAAACCUCAACCUCAUGAGCCGAUUUUAUGGGGUUGAAUUAAGCUUAAAGUCCACUUAGUAAUAUGAACAAUGAGAGGGCAUGUAUGUGAUGUGGAUACAAAUGUAUUCAUUAANNNNNNNNNNNNNNNNNNNNNNNNNNNNNNNNNNNNNNNNNNNNNNNNNNNNNNNNNNNNNNNNNNNNNNNNNNNNNNNNNNNNNNNNNNNNNNNNNNNNNNNNNNNNNNNNNNNNNNNNNNNNNNNNNNNNNNNNNNNNNNNNNNNNNNNNNNNNNNNNNNNNNNNNNNNNNNNNNNNNNNNNNNNNNNNNNNNNNNNNNNNNNNNNNNNNNNNNNNNNNNNNNNNNNNNNNNNNNNNNNNNNNNNNNNNNNNNNNNNNNNNNNNNNNNNNNNNNNNNNNNNNNNNNNNNNNNNNNNNNNNNNNNNNNNNNNNNNNNNNNNNNNNNNNNNNNNNNNNNNNNNNNNNNNNNNNNNNNNNNNNNNNNNNNNNNNNNNNNNNNNNNNNNNNNNNNNNNNNNNNNNNNNNNNNNNNNNNNNNNNNNNNNNNNNNNNNNNNNNNNNNNNNNNNNNNNNNNNNNNNNNNNNNNNNNNNNNNNNNNNNNNNNNNNNNNNNNNNNNNNNNNNNNNNNNNNNNNNNNNNNNNNNNNNNNNNNNNNNNNNNNNNNNNNNNNNNNNNNNNNNNNNNNNNNNNNNNNNNNNNNNNNACACACACACACACACACACACACAUAUAUAUAUAUAUAUAUAUAUAUAUAUAUAUAUAUAUAUAUAUAUAUAUAUAUAUAUACUAGUUCACACACAUGUAUACACUUAUCUAACAAGAUCUAUCAUCCAAGAAGGGCCACCCAAAAAGGGAACAUGUCAUUCACACAACAUGCCAUGCAUCUCAAUGUUAGUUAUAUAUCUACCCAUAACAUAUAUAAUAAAAUCCCAUCCUUUUACACAUCAAAUCAUCCAUACACAUGUAUAAAAGCAUUAAUAAACAAACAUCAUCAUCUCAUCAUAGUGUCGCUUGAGGGAGCUUCUCUCGCUUGAGAAACCUCAUUGAUGACUUUUUACGACAAAUGCACCAUGUUGUCAGAAGUAAUAAUGUAUCCCUAAUGACGGAUAUCAAACCCACAAGGAACAAUUGAAUAAUCAAGUAAAAUAUUUGCUAAAUAUAAAACAAUAAUAAAAGUGUGUUGAAAACUGUUGUGAUGACGAUGAUGAAUCAUAAAACAAGUCAAAAAAUUUGUUGUUUCAACUUAGAAAAAUAGGGAUUGAGUUUCAUCUUUCUCACUCUUCUGUAUUUUGUAUUUUGAUUGGCAUGGUAACAUUAUGUCCUUUGAUUGAUAUUGAUGCCCGUAUAAAAUUUAUUUAUAUCGAUUCAUCGCAUAUAAAAUUAUUAAGAUGCUUCCUAAAUAUCGAUUCCUCGCAUAUUUAUAAAAACAACCUAAUAUUCAGAUCAAACAUUAAUAGCAAUUAACAUUUCAAGUUUAUUCCUAACACUCAAAUAUGUUAAGUAUUAUUGAUUAGGUCAUAACCCUACAAAUACUUUUCAGUCAAAUUUAAGAUUUGAGAUCAAGAAUUAGAAGCAAAACAAUAAUACCAAUAAUCAAUCAAGAACAAAAUAUUAUAUUCAGAUAUCACCUCAAUACAUAAGAGUUUGAACAAAUUACUCUCAAUCUCAAAUGGUAGAAUUAACCACUGAUGAUGACUAUUGCAUGCAAGGAUGACAUGAAAAGAAGAUUCAGGAUGUUUCUCCUUGACGACUGUCUCCUCUAAUGUUUCUCACACAUCCUAUUCUCCCAAUUGGGUUACAAGUCACUCAAUGGUGUUUUCCUUUCAAUCUUGCACGUCUAGGGUUGUGCCUCAAGCCCCCUAUUUAACCUAAUUUUCGUGGGCUUAAGUGGAUUCUCGCUUAAGCGAGAAUGGGCUUGCUUGAGAGAGCUCCCUCGGUGGUGAGAUGACUCUUUUGUGCGUUUUGGCAGCUUGGUGAGUGUUGAUGCAUUCCAACUUUUCCUUUUUAGCUUUAUAUAUUCUCCUUCUGCCCAAUCAAUUCCAUUCUCCCCUAGAAUUAUGAAAUUAACACUAAAUUUAGGAAUAAAUUGUUCCUAUUCAAAUUAAAAUAAUCAAAUAUGUAAAAAUGUGUAAAUUCAUAAAUUAUGGAUUAUUUUAUACUUAUUUUAGCAAUUAAUACUCAUAAGUGCCCAUAUUUUAAUAUGAAAUAUUACUGAAAUUUGGCAGUUAUCACUCAUCACCAUAAACAAGAUAACACCCAUUUCGUUUCAAUAACACACCUACUACUUGAGCGAUAUGCAACCCAAUAACAACACCCUCCUAAGUUUUUUUUUGUGUUCCAACGAUCGUCUCAAUGCUAAAGUGUUAAGGCCAAUACUUGAGCGACUACCACAUUGUUUGAAGAAAUCCAAUUAGUUAUAGAAGAAAACUUCACCAUCAUAGGACACUUGAGGGCCAAACCAACUUGAGCACUAGUCACAUGCAUCACAUAUCACCACACGUAGUGACAUGUGUCAUGUACUACAAAGUGAGACAUAUACAUUGUCUCACCUCUUGCACAAAUGUUUGGAAACCACACUUGGGCCACCAACCAUAUCAUUUGAGCAUCCUCACCAAUGCUUGACAAUAAGUUUCUAGAGGAGAGAGAAUCUCCUCACCUCUUUCUUACUCAAGCGGCAAGUCAUCGCUUCAGUUAUUAUGCAACACGUCGCUUGAGCGACCAACACAUUAGAUAAGAAAUGUAAGAUGGUUAAUGCACAUUACUUGGGCCUUGCCUAAGCGAUAACACAUCACUCAAGCGAUAUCUGACCAAAAGAAUACCAACGUAGCUCAAACCAAUGUUUUUCCUAAUUUUUCAAAAUAUAGAAGAGUUUUUCUCCCAUUCAUAUGAAUGGGCUAAAAAAUAAAAUAAAUAUAUGCUUACAACCACAAUAAUAACACUAUAUUAUUCUAUAUUGUUAUUUAAUCAUUCAUUCGACACACAUAUACUCUAUUUGUCAAACAACUACCUACAUGCAACAUUGUAUUAUUAUAGUUCCCCUUACCUAAAUUGGUGCAUGCUUUUAUCUAAACAAAUGCUUAAAAAUCAUUUAUAAAAAUCUAAAUGAUCCAACAAACUUUUAAAACUCCACCCUACAUUGAGAACACUUCCUUUUUGACCAUUCAUACAAGAAGAGAAAAUAGUAAAAUAACAACAAAGAUAAAACUACUUAGCAAAACCAAAAUUCAAUUAGUCCAAUCAAAUAUACAUUGCGCCAUCUUUGCAGGACCUCAAUUUGAUAGGAAAUCUACGAGUAUAACAUCUUGUUUAGUCAAUCAAAACAUAUAUUUUUUUUUCAUUAAACUAAAGAUUUUAUAAUGAACUUAAAAAUGAAUGUCUAACUUCUAUUUGUAGACAUAAUUUCUAACUCAUUUUAAAAUAUAAUAUUGAUCUUACAACUAACUUCAGUCUCUAAUAGGUUGAUGAUGUUAAUCUUUUACUUGAUCUCCCUCUUGAUCAAGAUAUUUGUUAAAAAAAGACAACCUAUUUAAGACAACCGUGAAGUGCUUAAAUAAACACCUUUUUGAGACAAUGCUACUUCACUUUAUAGAGAACAUGAAGAAAGAGUGUCAUGAAGUAACACGAUAGAGUUUCAUUAUAAAACAUAAAUAUUAUAUAUUUUGGUUCGCAGUGAGGUUAUUGCAUGCUUAACUACAAUUUUGAAAUGUGAUAUUGAAGUAAAAAAUGCUAUGAAAUGUACGAGUUAAUUGAUAAUUUAAAUAAAAUUAUGACAUAAAAAGAACGGGUCACUAAAUCAUCUAACCCUAAAUACGAAGAUAAUAUGUUGUACAAUUAGAGAACUAAAAAAAUAAAUUUUAAUUACAAAAUUAAAAGAAACAAUACUCCAAUUUUAAAGAUUAAAAACAUAAUCCAGUCUUUAAUAUGCUUUAAAUAAUAAUAUGUUGUUCAAUAAAAUUAUAUAACAAAUAUUAGUUAGGCAAUCAUUUCCAAUACCAUGAAAGGUACUAACAUUAUAUCUAACUUUAAUAACUAUAGAUAACAUUACACAAUUUUGAAAAACUAUAAAAUAAAGAUAUACAAUUGUUGGAUAAAAAAUAUAAUGUUCCCAUUUUUAAAAACUAAAAAAAUAUUUAAUACCAUUACAAAUUAAUAUAAUAUAACACAUUUCUUAUUUCAUGCGGACUGCAUAUAUUUUAACUCUCACAAAUCUUCUAUUUUUAUGAACUUGACAACUUAUUUUCAUAUUAUAACUAAUGUAUAACCUUUUUUAUUAAUAUAAAAAUAAUGACAUUUAAGUUAGUCAAUAAAAUUUUAAUAAAUAAUUAAAUAUGUGAUUGUUAACUGGAUACAAUAUGCAAAAGAAAUUAAGAUCUUCUGCUUUAAUAAACUUCUUAUUUGAAUUUUGGUUUAAUUAAUAAUUUAAUAAUAAACAUUAAAAAAUACAUCCAAAAAAUUAAAUAUUGAAAAGUAUAAAAAUAUAUUUAAUUAGUAUAUUAUUAUUCUAGUAAUAGUUUAUAAAUAUUUCAAUAUAUUUUAAGUUGAUUACAAAUAUUUACAUUGAUUAAAUAAAUUGAAGAAAUACAAAUUAUUCUUUAUUAUUCACAAUAAAAAAUAAUUUUAUUUGACAUAAAAAUAAAAGAAUAUGUAAAUCAUGAAAAUAAAAAAUUGUGUCUACUUGACAUAUUAUAUUUCUUUAGCACUACAAACCUAAAUGUAUUAUAGAUGUGGAUUAUGAGAAAGGCACUUUAAAAUCUUUUAAUAAUUAUUUGACUUAUGUUUUGAUAUUUUUAGAUAUAAUACUAAAAAAUUGUGUUGAAAAACUUUUGGAAAAUGAUGUAUCUUCAAAAUUAAUAUUUUAAAUGUUGCUUUAAGAUAGUUUAUUUUGUUUAAAUAAAAAAAUACUUUUAUAAUAUAUAUAGUUAUUGAAAUAAAGACAAUCCUCUAACAUUUUUGGAAUAUUGCAAAGAUAUACAUUAUGACCAUAUUAUUAAAUUCAUGAAUUAAGUCUAACAUACAGCUACAAAGCAUAUAACAUGAAGCAUCCGUUGGGCUAUUAUUAGAAAUACUGAAACCAUUUUUUAAUUAAAAUACAUUAUUAUUAUUAUUAUUAUUAUUUUAGUGCAUAAAUUAAUUUUAAUCAUAAAAUUGAUCGUAUUUUUCUUAUAGAUUUCCAAAUCAUGAAAAAGAACUCUUAAUUGAGGUUUUAAACUCAUUCUUCUGUAAAAUAUUUUUUAUAAAUUAAAUAUCGAAAAUUGUCAAAAGAGAAUGAGUAAUCAUAAAAGUUAUAACAUCGGUUAAAAAUAAUAUAAACUAAUUUUAAGAUAAAUAUUAUAUUUUUAUAAGAAGAACUUAAUCAAUUUGUCCUCUCAUUUACCUAUAAGAAUUUAACUUAUCUAUAUGAAGAUUAGAAUGUCGCUGGUAGUAAAGAUUAAAUACAAAUAACCAACAGUGGACCAAUUAUCAAACUUUCAACAACAAAUGUGGAAUGAAAAUUAUAAUUAGCUAGAAUUUGUGUUUUCUAUUAUAUAAUAAUGUUGGAACAGGUAAACAUCUACCUAAAUAUUAAGACAAAAUAGUUAGGUUAGUACAUUUAUUCUCAAUCACAACCUUUAUACUCCAAUAAUUUACAUUCAGCUAUUUUUAUUUUUAAAAUUAUCAUUUAAUUUAAGUAUUUUUUAUAUUUCUUUUCAUUCUUACAAAUUUAUAACAUCUUUAUUUAUAAGAUGUUUGUGAAAAUCACAUUUAAUUUAUAAAAUUUGACACGUGACGAAAAACUAAUAAUGAAUUGUAUGUUUAUUUUUGUAACAAAAUUCACUUAAAACAAUUUUUUUUUAAAAUUUAGCUAUAUAUUAUUUUAUAAACAUGCUUAGCAAAUUUUUUCAAACUUUUACUUUUAUAUUUGAAAAUAUCCAUUUAUGAAUAAUUGGAGAUUUUAAUUUGAAAAGAGAAAUAAUUUAAAGGCUGUGAUGAAAGACGGAAAGAGGAAAUUAAAAAUGGAAAAGGGGGUCCGUGUGAGGUGACAGUGGCAAUUUUAAUGAAAAGGAAAUAUGUUAGUUAUUAAUUUUAAAAAAGGGAGGGAGAAAAAAUGUGAAGGAAAAAGUGUCGGCUUGGGAACCAUGGUUAAGCGAAGCAGGGUGUGGGGUUAAGUAAGGGAGUGUUAAUGCGGAGCGCUGGUGUGGCUUGAAUUGAAUUUGGCACGGGGAUGAGCGUCGGUGACUCGUGCGAGACAAGCACAAAAUGGAGAGAGAGAAAUUGACGCAUGCCAGCGCUGAGAACUAACUAUAAAACCAAGAAUCAGGGGAAAGACGGGAAUGGAGUGUGAGUGGUUACACAUUCACAACGCUAUUGAGAGCGAAAUGGCGGAUUCGGUGUCGGUGGACUUCGAAGCCAUUUCUCUUCCACCCGAGGUAACUAACUUUCACUAACACUCACGAACAACCAUUUCAUUUCAUCGCACCCAGUUUAACUCAAUUCGUCUUUUCAUUCUCACUUUUUCUUUAACUCAUUCGCUUCAUUAAUCAACAACCGCGUUCUUCCUUUGCGUUUCAUAAUCUUCUUGCAUUGCUUCACAAACUUUCUGAAUUCUUUACAGGAUUAUACGCUUACUUUAGUUUCUGUUUUUUAAAGCCUUUCGAGAUAGUGAAUGAAGGAAUUUUUUUGGUUUCUUGAUUCCACGGAUUAAAUAAACUGGAUUUUAUUUUUAUUUUUUUUAAUUGUCUUAAUCGCUAUCACCGGUAGGAUUCUGGCAGGUGCAGAUUGAUAUUUUUUUUUAUCCUCUUAACUUGCAGUACCAGACUUCAAAGAUUUGAAUUUUUUGUUGGUUUUUUUAUCCUUUUUUUUCCGUGAACGAACCCCCGACAGACCGGAGUAUUUACACGCUUCUGUUGCCUAUGCUGAAACCUUACAUUCAUAUUUUUUGCCCCCUUUUUCUUGCUGUUAAAACAUGAAGGAGGUGUUUUUAUCAUAUUCUUAUGCGAUUUUAUUGUCUGUUUUAGCUAUUUUUAUGCGCUGUUCCUAAUUAAUGAGCUACUGAGGUGUUUUUGCAGGAACAUGUUGUAAGAACUCGUUAUGGCAGUGUCUCUGUUUCUGUUUAUGGGGACCAGGACAAGCCAGCGCUGAUCACGUAUCCUGAUUUGGCUUUAAAUUGUAAGUAUCAUGGAUUUUACUUUUUCCAUAUGAUGAUUCUAGCUAAUGAGUACUCUUAGGCCAUGAUUAACGCCGUUUUAAUACACUUUAUUACAUGGUUAUAAUUACCAAAGAAACAUCUAUUACAUGAUAUUGUGUUUUUAAAAUAAUAAAUGAUUUAUUUGAUAUUACUGCUUAGUUUAAUUUUUUUUUAAUUUGUGUAGUUGUAGUUAACAUUGUCCUUUAUACGUAUGUGUGUAUAUAUAUAGGGGGUUAAGUUAUGAGUAACUUUGAAAGAGUUACUACUCAUCUCAACCCUUUUUUGUUUUCUUAAUCCAAUUAUUUCAUAUAACUUGAAAUAUCAGAUUAAAGAAAAUAGAAGGUAAUCACGGUCUUCUUAGAUUGAAUUAAUUCGUCUUCGUCUUGCGUAUAAUAUAUACACACACAUAAAUGCUAACUAGUAUCCUAAGGCACUGAUUAAGGAAUUAAAAGUAUUUUUCAUUAAGAUGCAUUAAAGUGCAUUUCUUUAUGAUUCUUUAAUGUGUUCCCACGUGAUUUACAAUAAAUUUUAUCUUUCAAUUUCUUAAUUGGUGUGGUUAUGUAUGUAUCCGCAGAAGUCAAAAUAUUUUUUUAACCAAAAAAAAUAUUCUCAUUUCUAGAUUUGUUUUAAUGAAUAAGUUGACAACGUUGUCUCGUGACAUUCAAGUAGAGAUUCAACGAUGUAGUAUUGAAAUAAUGGUGGUUUUGUGUAAUUAAAUUAUGGGUUAACAAGUUUUCUCUUAAAAGGUUCUAUGAAACCGCAUAAGUGACAGUGGUUUGUGUUCAGUAAGUAAGGGGCCCGUGAUUUACCAAUACAAUGGUUAUAAAAUAAAUAAAAAUAAAGUUGUAUACACAAAAUGUCGUAAUAUAAAGUGAUGUUUUAUGACUUUGUUAACAUUGAGCCUCUAGUUUUUUCCAUAAACACUUCUAGAAGAGAAAAAUAAGAAGAAAAAGAUAAUGAAUUUCUUUAUAGGCUAAAAUUAGCUUAUACACUAGUUAAAAACAAAAAUUUAUAGAAGCUAUAUAAAAGAGUUUUUACAAAUUAACUUAUGCAGUAAACUAAUUUUAAUUUAUACAUAAACUAAUUUAAUUUUCUUAUUUUUUUCUUUUAGAAGUGCUUAUGAAGAAGUUAGUCCAAACAACUGUUUGUUUUGGUUGAAAAACCACACUCUAACCAUUUGCUUUCGUGCAUGUGGUUUCAUCAGAUGUCUCCUGCUUUCAAGGGUUGUUAUUUUGUCCAGAAGCCUGUUCGCUACUGCUUCAUAAUUUCUGCAUCUAUCAUAUUAGUCCACCUGGGCAUGAGGUCUCUAACUUUAUUUCUUGUAACAUUUUUAAAUAUUUUAUUUAUUUAUUUCGCUCCUUAUCAUUUUGUACCUUUUCGUGAAUUAUUGUAGUUGGGAGCUGAUGCCAUUUAUCCAGACGGUCCAAUUCUUUCUGCUGAUGACUUAGCUGAUCAAAUAGCUGAAGUUCUCAAUUAUUUUGGGUAUAUUCCAGCUCACUCAUCAAUUUCUUUCCAUUUAGUUCAUGGUAGAAAGUUUUAGAGAUAGUGGAGUGGAAUCAAAUGGAAAGAUAAAGUAUGAAAUGAAGUAUGAAAUAGAAAAAGUUUCGUUCCCUAUUGUUGAAAAUCUAAAAUUUCAGUAAAACCUUUAUUUUCAUGUAACCAAGUUUAUGGGGUGCUAUAGUGAAUGACGCAUAUUCAGUAUAGAAACUAUGUUGUUCCCUUCGCAAUCUCUUACUCUCAGGAAUUUUUAACUCCUAAACUAGGGUCUUAUUCCCUAGGUCCAUCCUUUUCCUCACCACUCCCCUUAUGUAGCAUCAAAAUGAUAAUGUUAGAUAAAUUUCAAUUUGGCUUCAAUUUGAAAUAUUUGCUUGUUUAUCUUUUAUUUGCAACUGAAACAUCCUUCCGUUGUGCAUUAAAAGUAACGGGUUUAUAACUUGUGCAACUGAUUGCGUCUCCUUGAUCUUGAGAAGGCAAUCUAAUAUCCUCCCCCUCUCUCCUUUGCAGUCAUAGUGCAGUGAUGUGUAUGGGAGUAACUGCUGGGGCUUAUAUUCUUACCUUAUUUGCUGUGAGUCCUCGUAUAUGUCGCACUGUCUCUCUACUUCCUUUUACCAUUCUUAAAUGGCUGAAUGGAUCUGACAGAUAUUUCUUACUUUAACAACAGAUGAAAUAUAGACAUCGUGUUCUUGGUUUGAUACUUGUUUCUCCUUUAUGUAAACCACCAUCUUGGACUGAAUGGUUGUACAAUAAGGUUCUUUUUCUAAACCUAGGAGGCUUUGUCUACUUAUUAUGAGAAUACAUAUCACCUUUUACUAAAGACUAAUAAUUGCAGGUCAUGUCAAAUUUACUCUACUUUUAUGGCAUGUGUGGGGUGGUUAAAGAAAUAUUGCUAAAGCGAUACUUUAGCAAGGUAUGCCUAUUCCUGCAAAAGAAAAAUUUCCCCUUCCUUCAGUAUGUGAGGUUGAGUCAUUAACUUUAUUGGUGAUGAUAGGAGGUUCGAGGCGGUGAUUAUUUGCCAGUGUCAGAUAUAGUUCAAGCAUGCCAAAGGGUUAGCCCAAUUUAUCUUACGCUUCCGUGUAUUGAAUGGGUUAGCUGGCAAUUUAAAACUGAGCACUUGUCUGACUCUCUUUUAAAUAUUUAUUGACAGUCAUUGGAUGAGAGGCAGAGUUUGAAUGUGUGGCGGUUCCUUGAAGCAAUUAAUGGGUAAGAUAACACUUCAAAAUACUGGUUUUCAUUCAACUAGAAAGUGGCAACCUAUUAUAUUAUACAUGUGUAUGUGUUGGGUGGUGGUGGGGGUAGGAGUGGAGUUCCGCUCUGCAUGAUAUCAAUUAUUGCUAAACUUUCGACAACAGUCGGAGACUCAGAAUUUAACUAUACAUGCACUCGUUGUUAAUUUACCCCUUUUCAUGCAUAAAUGCAUUUGGUGAUGCUGUAGUUCCACAUAUUAUGAAACCGCAAUGUGGCCAUAACUUUGUGUUUGCAUUUUGCAGGAGACAUGACAUCAGUGAAGGAUUGAGAAAAUUACAUUGUCGUUCACUAAUUUUUGUCGGGGAUAUGUCUCCUUUUCACUCCGAGGCUCUCCACAUGACAUCUAAGUUGGAUAGACGAUUCAGUGCCUUAGUCGAGGUGCGUAAGACAGUUCAAGUCCAUUUUAUUAUGCGAGAAGAAAUUGUGUACCAAUAAAAAAUGAACUAGAUUUGAUAGCUAUUGUUGGCGGAAGUGCAGGUUCAAGCGUGCGGGUCAAUGGUAACAGAGGAGCAACCUCAUGCCAUGUUAAUACCGUUGGAGUACUUUCUCAUGGGAUAUGGCUUGUACAGACCAUCUAAGUUGAGUGUCAGCCCAAGAAGUCCCCUGAGUCCGACUUGCAUUUCUCCUGAGCUUUACUCCCCAGAGAGCAUGGGUUUGAAAUUGAAACCAAUAAAAACACGAAUUUCCGUGGAGAUGUAGUACGGUAGUAGUCAUAGAUGAAUAAAGCUUGCCACUUCUUUGUAUUUUGAUUGUUGCACAAGUUUAUAGUUCUUUGUUUUGUCAAAAUCUGGUGAAGGGAGAGAUGUCAUUGUAGAUAGAGGGACACGAAGAAAGAAUCAACAGAGGAAAAAAAGGGGAAAGAGUUUUGUUGAAAGCAGCUAUAGUCAUUCUUUUAUUUGUAAUCAUAGACAUAAGUUAGCGAGUUUGAAUCGUUGCUAAGGCUUCAAAAUUGUUAUUUUCGGACAAAUAAAUAAAAAAAAUGAUAGUUUUUGUUACAACUGUAAAGCUAACGCGGUGGGCACACCAUGUAAUCUCACACCAUGUCGGUAUCUACCUGUUGAUACUUUCAUAGUUUAUUUAUCGUCAUGAGAUUCCCGACCCUGAAAAGCUGAAGUGAAAUAAUGAAAGCAACAUUGGGAUUUUCUUUACUUGUUAAAGCAGUUAUGAAAUUAAUUGGUAAAACAUUGAAAGUAUAUGUAAUCGUUUUUUCUAUAAUGACGAACUUAAUAUUUCUUGCAAGUAUGUCUAAACCUCCAUGGCAUGACUAAUGACGUCAAUACGGUACUUGUAUCUGUCUAGGAUUUAUCUUUCUUAAGAAGUGCUACCUCUUUACUUUGCCUUAACAUGAGCCUCUUUCCAUGUUUGCCUUCUUAAGAACCUUAACCUCUUUCAUAGCUUCACCCCUUUACUGGUGCAUUACCAUGGGAGAAGAAGAAAUCAAGCCAAAAUAAUAAGACGAGAUAAAUGUCGUGAAAUUUACUAAGAUUAUAUUUUCUUCAUGGACAUCCUCAUCAAUAAUAUACCCUACCUACCAUGCAAAGCAAUAAGCGCAGAUUUUGACCUCAGUUCUAUUUUCUAUUUGAAUAAAGAAAAGGGUGCGUUAUAUCGUUUAUGCGACUUUGUACACCUUUAGUUAACAUUAAACCUUUGAUUACUCAUGCCUAUCCUGUUUCCAUGGUUAUUCUGGAUUCCUUCUUCAUUUCGACAAGCCUUUCUUUUGUUCAUUUCAGCAUACAUCUCUUCAAUCAUAGGUUUCCACAGCCGCACACGAGCAUUUAUAAACCAGUUGGAUACCUGAGCUUGAAGACACAACCAAGCAAGUAUGUCAGAUUGUUCACCUUUAAACAAAGUAACAAACAAGCAAGAGUAGUAGAUAAUACCUGACUUCUUGUCAACCCACUUUUUACUGCAAGUAAAUGCUUCUCUGCAUCUUUGGGAUACCUGAAAUCCAUCAAUUACUAAAUAAAUACUUUCUUUAGAUAUAUUCUUUAAAUUCAAUUCAUGGAUAAAAUUCUGAUGAUUGAAGUAUAAAUCCAUUCCAAGAGACAGGUAUAUUGCAUAUUUGAAACUCACGGGUGUAAGAAAUUCUGAAACAUCCAUGCCCGAAGAACCGAGACAGAUCUUUCUGGCAAGCCUCUCUGGGGCCUCCACAGCUGAUCUUUUCUUUUCAACUGCUGGAGAGCCCAUUGCUUUUGAAGGAAUGAAGUUU